rnacentral:lncRNA from 1 species
CUCCUUGAUGGGAACACACUGAAUUACUUUGGGAAGAACAUACCGAUUAAUCUUAUCUUCGCUGUUGUUGCUGAGGUUGUUCUUCUUGGUGGAGCUGAAUACUACAGAAUCACUAACGGUUUGGUACGUACCUAGAGUUAAUUAUAGCAUUGCUGUUAUUAUCCAAACUAACGACUCCGAAUACUAACAAAAGGUAUUACAACUUUUGAAAGUUUGUCCGACUGUUUUAUUUGUACAAUAUAACUAACCAUAUCGCAAUUCACACCGGAGUACGUACUUAUAUUACCACCUACUGUUAAUUUGAAACUUGCAAGAAGAACCAAUGACGACAAUCUCAUGACUGUGUUGCAGGAAUUGGAGGACAAGCUUCACCCAGGUGGUCCUUUUGACCCACUGGGGCUGGCUAAGGAUCCAGACCAGGCUGCAUUGCUAAAGGUGAAGGAGAUUAAGAACGGAAGACUUGCCAUGUUUUCCAUGCUCGGUUUCUUCCUCCAAGCGUAUGUCACCGGAGAAGGUCCUGUCGAAAACCUAUCAAAGCAUCUGAGCGAUCCCUUCGGCAACAACUUGCUUACUGUCAUUGGUGGAUCUAUCGAAAGAGCUCCAACCCUGUAAUUUUAAGUUUCCUCCUUAUUCUCCUCCAAUCAAAAUUAAAAGCAUUGUAUAUCAAAUUGAGUCCUUUUAAAGGCUUUUAACCUUGAUCCUUAAAUGGAAUUGCUCUAUCUUUUCACGUCCGUUACAACGCUGGUUGUUGUUGAUAGAACUAUUAUGUUUCUUCGGGGCUAAGCCAAAUUAUCAUACUAUGCAGAUUCGUGACAUUCAAUUGUCACUUGUCUGUUUGGCUAGCUAUUUUUAGAAUCAACGAGCAGCCCGUGCGAUGUAGCAGGGCCUAAAACUGUGUUAACGUUGAUAUAUUUGUUGGAAUAUGAGUAUCUUAGGUAUUAUAUUGUUUGGGUUUUCUUAUAAGUUUAGUCUAUUAAUAAUUUUCUUAUUAUUUUGUAGUCUCGUUUGUUCAUAAUCUGAUAUUCAACUUGGUAACAGAGCAGAUUAAAUCCUUCGAGAAUUAAUCUGUUUUGGGGUUGAUAUCGAUUUGUUUGUCUUUUGUUCAGUAUCAGUUUUGUUUUAAUUCAGGUUUUGUUGUUUGAAAACAAAGAAAAAAGUUGAAUCUGUUUGCUUGGGACUUGGGAGGCACACCGCGCUGAAACCAGAACCCCAAACUCGUUGCGAUCGUUUGCCGUUUGUUUAUUAUCUGCCAAAACCCAAACUUGCACCGAAGCUGCCGUUUGCAUCCACUCCACUCCGUCAUCGAGCCACAAACCCGCUGCUGCUACAUAUCAUCUUGCCGUCCACCUGAACCAUCUUGAAGCCCAGAACAACACCUGCUUGACCAGAUUUGUUGAAUCCAUCAACCUGCAUCAAGCCCGCCAUCACGCCCACUAGAAUCAACAUCGCUACUAACUGCUUGACCAACCCUCUACCCCAUAGCCGCUUGAUCAUCGUACCAGACUAUCACCAUCUCGCUGCCGCUUGGAACCACCUGCCUAACGAACCCAACCAACGCUGACCAUCGUAUCUGCUUGAAAUCCCGUUGGUGCCCAUUCUUGCUUGUCGCUGUUGCACCACCAGUUUGACCCGAUUGCUGCUUGUUUGUUGGUAUUACUGUUUAUCUAGGCUUAUUAUAUUAAUGCUCCACAAAUUGUUGAAUAAACCCCAUACACUUAAUACAUCUCACAUUGCUUUUUCAAUUAAAAAUUAUCUUAAUGCACCCCACAUAUUUCCCCAUAAUACCCUCACACCCCACAUUCUUAAUAUACACAUUAUAUUUUCUACAUGCACCCCAUAUUUUCUAUACACCCCACAUUUCUCAAAUCUUAUGAAGCUUUUAAUUUGGACAAAAAAUGCCGACUAGAAUUUUGACAAAAGAUGGGAUUUAAAGCAUAUGUGAGUUGUUUUCAAUUCCACCAUUAAAACUUGUGUCGUCUGUUUUUAAUAUUUGAUGGUAAUUUUAGGUAUUAAAUUCUUCAUGUAAUCCCUAAAAGAUGAAUACGAACAUAGAAGCUUGAAUAACGCAUCAAAAGCAAGAUUAAAUAAUUAUCAAUAUCGUCAAAAUCACUAAAACAAUAAAAAAAUAUGAAGUCUUAUCUCAUGUGAAGCUUCCGAAAUAUUGAUUUCAUGUUUCAUUCAUCAAAAAUAAUUUUUCUCAAUCAACAUGUUUAUAGUUUCAUUGGUUAGGUUUUGUUCAACAAUGGAGGGUCGGAAGGAUUUUGAUAAUUGAAAAAGAUAAAUAAUGCGUUAAAAGUGAUUUGGGGUGUAUAUAGAUUUUUUUUAACAUAAUAAGGUCAAAAUUGUCAUUGCAUAGUAGGGUAAAUAAGUUAUUUAAUAUUAAAUUUUAAUGUGAGGUGCAUUUAACAUUUUGUGGGAUGCUAAUAUAAAAAGCAUUUAUCUAUAUAUAUAAAGUGACAGCCCCAGUUUGGUGAAGCAUUCGAUAAACCCGAGAACACUCUCAUGUCAUACAUAAAGCAACCGGAUUUACCCAUAGAAAUAGGGUCAAAUUCGUAAAUAUGAUACAACUCAUAAAUGAUCAAAAACAGAUAGAAUUAGCUACUGCAAACACUACAUGCACCCAUCACAACAAUGGCAAUUAUGAACCACUAGAUGAAAACACACACACUUUAAAUUCAUUGUCAUCCCUUAAAUUAAUCAUCCUAUAACUACUUCAUCACAUUCUAUCUUUCCGCUAUACAGAAAAUAAGAAGUAAAUAAAUAAAUAAAUAAAAGAAAAAAUACUCGGUGCGAAGCCACGAACUCCCAACAUCAGGUGCAGCGGUUGCAAAUUGCAGAGAUGGAACUCUCCAUAGGAGUUGGAGUGAUUCAAACUGUAGAGAUGAAACUGCCAUAUACUACACAUUUAAAGUGAGCAACGGAUCAAUGCACCCCCCCGACAACGCAUACAAAAAAGGUAAACGAAUUCACUUUCUUCUCCUACACAGACCAAGCUCCUCCAUAUGUUUUUUCGAAGUUUCUUCCAAAUUUCCGUCAGAUUGCUCUUAUCGUUUAGAAUCAUCUUAAACUGGUACGAAUUCCACUUUCUCCAAACUGAUUUUCAGUUUACAGAGUGAGAUUAGAGAGUUGUAGAUAACCAAAUAGCAGGGGGAGGGGGGAGAGAUAGUGUCCUUGCGAAUGUCAAAUUUGUAUCCAACUCGAUUGAAUUUUCUUCAUUCUUUACCUUUUUCUCUUUUUUCGUCUCUGUUUCUAUCUCUCUCUUUCUCUCUUCUAAAACCAAGUCAAAUGCUAUUCUACCACUCUCCUCCUUCCCUCGCCUACAUUCUUAUAUGCACACACAUACAUGUAUGUAUCAUGUCAUACCAUCUCAUCAUGAUCAUCUACAUGUCAUGAUCAUUAUCCAUUAUGUUGUGUAUAGAUAUUAAAUGACACUCUUUGCUACCUAUUUAAGAAGUUGUCCAACUCUAAUUGUUUAACAAAUUUUAUCUAUGUUUCUCCAUUUGUUUUUUUUAUGCACAAGAUUAGACAAUUUAGGUGUGGUGCUACAAUUGUUACGGGUCGAUUCCCCUUUCAUUCAAUUUCUCUUCAUGAUUAUAAUUAGUCAGAUUGUGAGUUUCAAUUUUGAUUAUCCAUGUGCUAUACGUGUGCUAUGGUAUUUUAAAAAAUUAUUUGUUUUCAUUCUCAAGGUAUUUACAAGAAUACCCACAAAAAUGAAGAAGGAACUACUUAUUGAUAAGAUCCCAAACAGAUGUGUCUCUAUUUUUACACCUGGUUGGAAGAUAUCUGUCAGAUUAAAAACUACUAAUCUAAGCGAAUUAAUUCUCAAAGAAUGGAAAAAGAAGAAGCAUGAGGAGUAUGUAUUCUAAAUUCUUUAUUAAAUUUUUUUACAAGAAAUCUAACAUUAUAUAUACCUUUAAUAUAUAAGUGGUGCAUGAAAAAAGUUGUAGAAGAAUUAAAGCUUUCAACAACUCCUCACAUAAUACGUAUUUGGAAUAAAGUCCAACAAAUUAGGUAUAACACCAUUUCUUACCUAUUUAUUUUUAAUGGAAUUCUCUAUUUUACAAAUUAAUUAUCACAAAUUAUAAAAUUAAAAAAAAAAUCUACAAAUUUAUUAUCUCAGAUUAAAAAAAAAAAACAAUUUAUGGGUGCAGGAAAAAGAUUAAUAGUGACCAAACAACAUUUCUAAAUACGAUAACUCUUCUCUUAUUUUCAUAUAGAAGUAUACUAUAAAUUCAAAUUGCAUUCAAUUUUCAAAUAGAAAUAAAAUUGCAUUUUUAUCAGUUUUACAAGUAUCACACCCGUCUCAAAGUACAAAGGUUGAAGUACAACAUUAAGGUAACAUUUCUUACUAUUUAAUUUUGUAAACAUGAUUACAAUUUGUUACCUCAAACUUGACAAAUUAUUUACCUUUCAGUAUUCUAAAAGUAACUGGAGUAAAAGUAUUGCUAUGGGAAAAUUGUCAAAGUUAAAGGUAUUUAGGUUAAAUUGCUUACAACCUUUAUAUUUGAGAUUAUGCAUUAUAGUGCAUUGUUCCCAUCUUAAUCAGUUAAACUUCUUAUUUUAUCAUCAUUGCUUGCAGAUUAACCAUGAAAAUCUAAAGCAUCAAGUGCAAGCAAAUGGGUGGCAAGCAUGGCUUUGAUUUCACACGUAGACACUAUGUUUACAUAUGUAUAUAUUGUCCAUAUUUUGCUUUGCUUCAUAUAUUAGGAGUUCAUCCCUAGCUGGCCUAUAACUUUGACUGAAAACUUAUGAAUCUGGAAAUUUUGAUCUAAGGACAGUAAAUGUUAUCAUCAUGUAUUUAGAAAUGAAAUUACAUGCCAUAUUUUCAGAUUUUUUGAAUAGUUUAUGUUUUCCCAUUUAUCUUCAUUGUUGUUUUGAAGGAAAAAUAGUAAAAAAUUGUAUGAGAAAUUAGUAAAAACCAUAACUAAACAUAAAACUGUAUUAAAAAAUAAAUAUCUAGAUAAGAUGUAGAUGUGUGCUGAAACUGUUUAUGUGACGACCCAUCCCAAAUUAUUAUACAUAUUUUCUCCCCUAGUGUGUAAAGUGACAAUAUUGCCCUUGUUGGCUUAGUAACGUGGAUGUAUAUGCGGUUCUAUAUUAUUUUUUAUUACUAUCCUUGUCUACCAAUUAUUUUAGUUUCAAUCCUCCCUAGCCAAUAGAUAUUUUCUUUCUUUUGGACCAAUUAAAAACUACUCUCUCUCUCUUCUCUGCCAAUUAGAACUGAUAUUUUUCUCUCUUUCCUUCUCGCGCCUUCUUCUCUGUUCUUCUUGCACCCGAGGCACCAACCACAGCACAACCAUCACCAUAUCGUCACAGAUCGAACUUAUAAAUACCACCAUCGAACGUAUCUUGACUUCACGAAUCUAGCCGUACCAAUUGUUUGGGGUUUUGACGAGUUUUAACCCGUGGACUUGUGAACGCCGACUUGGUGGUUCUUGGGUUGUUGUGAUCGUGGCCGAGUUGCGAGACUUUAAGGCUUGAGAAAACAUCUACACAACUCCACGGAGACCCUAGAGUAAGUUUAGAGUGAAGUUGAUGUCGGAACAAGUGAGUUCAAGAAGUUUUAGUUUUGUCCAGAACUUUCGAGAGAUUUUCAGAUCGAUUUUAGUUUGAUUUUGGACUUUAAGAGGUACGAACUUGUUCUACUCCUCAAGGGCUUUAAAUCCAUAUAAAUUUCAUGGAUUUUGGUUAAGAAAUGACAAAGUUAUGAAGAUCUAAAAAUUUUCCAGAAAUUCAGUGAUAUUUUUCCAGAAACCGGCGAACCAGAUGGUAGACGGCGGCGGACAACAAGGAUGACCAGAGAAGAAAGUGAAUAUUCCGUCAAAGUUGAUAGAAUAUUUUGUCUGCGGCCAUGGUGCUUGGUGCUGCCAAUAAUUCGACCUGAAUUUUUCUCCCAAUCUUGUCUUCCACUACUGAGGUGAGGCGAGCCAAAGCGUCUACAUGACUGUUUUCCGCUCGAGAAAUUUGGGUGAUAUGGUAGUGGAAGUGCUUGAGCAAAAGUUAUGUUUGUGCAAGAUAUGCUGCCAUGAAGUUAUCCUUAGCAUCAAAGUUGUUCGUGACUUGGUUAACCACUAAUUGGGAGUCACUGAAGAUAUCAAUUUGUUUGACCCCAAGGUGUUUGGCCAAACGUAAGCCUGCUAGAAUGGCUUCAUACUCGGCCUCGUUGUUUAUUGCCUUAAAUUUGAAACGAAGAGCAUACUCUAUUGCCACUUUGUUUGGGGUAGUCAAGACUAGUCCUGCUCCAUAACCCUGUUGUUUGGAUGAGCCGUCAACAUAUAGAGUCCAUAUUGGGAAAGUUGGUUCUAUCUUCUAAGCUUCCGGGGGUAAUGAAGCCACUGCUUCAGGUGUAGAAGCAAUGUCGACAGGAUAAGUGAAUUCGGCAAUGAAAUCUGCCACUGCUUGGCCCUUAUUAACUGGCUUUGGUUGGUAGGCGAUGUCAAACUCACCCAAUGCUAUCGCCCAUUUGAUCAUUCAUCUCGAAGUGUCAGGACUUUGAAGUAUCUGUUGAAGGGGGUGAUUGGUAAGUACAAUGAUGGAGUGUGCUUAGAAGUAGGGGCGAAGCUUCCGAGCAGUCAUGACCAACGCUAGAGCUAAUUUCUCAAUAUUGGAAUAUCAUGUCUCCGCAUCUUGUAGAGCCAUGCUAGCGUAGUAGAUAGGUCGUUCGACAUCACCAUCCCUUCGAAUGAACUGCUGAAGCUGAAAUAGACAGAUAGACAAUGAGGGUGUCACCAACUUCAGGUUUGGAAAGCAUAGGGGCUUUACCUAUGUACUCCUUGAGGUUCUUGAACGCUUCGGCACAUUCUUCAAUCCAUGGAAUGUACUUCUUACUUCCCUUAAAUGCUUUGGAAAAAAAGAGCGCACUUGUAUGUGGCCUUAGAGAUGUGUUGGAAAUAUGCCUUGAAAGUUAAUCUUUGGAAGAAACCUUUCAGGACAAUGAAUGUGUGUAUAGAUGACUCUUAUACAUCAAAAGGCAAAGAUACUAAUUAGGACUAUCUCAAUAAACGAUAUAUGUCCUAAAUAGUGAAUCCAUGGACAAUGGAUCGAUGUAAGAAGUAAUCUAAUGAUGUUAGACUACAGAGACCUUCUUCACAUAACCAUCAUGUCCAAAAAGGUUCCUGGUCAUAUGAUUGUCAGAGGGAUACUGACAAUGCAAAGACCAGUACAUACUAUGUCCCCUUCAAUUGGAAGGAUGGAAAGUCUCAUCCCAUUCGUGUAGUGACACUAAGACAUGUAUGUAGGUGCUCAUUAAGGGAAUGAGUUCACUGAACACAAUCGAACGAGAGUACUUGCAUGGAGGUCUACUCACAUGUCAAGCAAGUAACUCUAAUGGUUGGAAUAAUGUAAGUAGUCAUUUGACCUGAGGCAUCAUAGUUGUCUUGUGGUUUGGUCCUUGAUCUUUGAUUAUGUCAAAGUCACUCCAUUCGCGGGUGUCCACGGCAUAGUUGGGGUUAAGCCACUUAGCCAUGGAGGCAAGUAAAUGCGCAACAAGGGAUCUCUAAUCCUCGUUAUGAGAGGAAGAAUACUCUAAGAUAUGAUUCGGGAAUCUUCGGCCAAAGUAUCGAGCGUAAUAAAGGAAAGCGUUCCUAUACGACUCAAUUGAAUCAUAUAAUAUGGAAUAAUCACUUUAGGGGUUUGACAUAAUAUAUCCAUACCCUAAUAAUGUGAUUGAGAGUAUUGUAUUAGAGAAGGAUCGAAUUACAUUGUAAUUCCAACUGAAUAGGUUCUUCGAUCAAAUUCUACAUUAGCUUGGGUAGCCAUGAUAUAUGGUUAGAUGUCACUCAUGGCUUGUGAGUUCUUCUAGAUGAUUAAAUAAGUAGUCGUCAAAGAAGAAGGAGAAUUAAAAGUAAGUUUUAAUUCACUAAGUGAUUGGAUUAAAUAUAAUCAAUUGGAUUGGUGCCAAUCACCUCACUGCCUUGCUAAUUAGAACCUAAAAUGAUUGUACACCGAUACACUCUUGUAGUGAGACAACUAAUGGAUGAUGGAAAUAACUAAUUGGAUUAAUUAAGUGUUGUGAUUAAUUAGAAAGUCUAAAGAAAUCAUAAAAGCGAUAAAAGAUCGUUUUGGGCUUAAAGAAAAGUUCGGGUUCAUUUGGGCCAUUAAGUCCAAACCCAUUGGGCUUUUAUUUAAGCAUAGGAUGACUCGAAAUAAUAAAAGCCCAAAGCCCAAACAACACUAAAGGGGCCGGCCAAAUGGAGGGAAAGGGAGAGAGAGGAAGUCAAGUGGUUGGCUAGUUUUCUUUGAGAUAUAAAAGGACCUUUAUAGUGAAAAGUUCAUAAGGGUUUUGUGUGUUGAUUUUUCCACAAAAGAAGAAAACCUCUCUCUCUCAAAAACCACACACAAGGCCGGCCACCAAAGGGGGUUUAGCUAAUCAUCUUCUCACCCUUUGGUUAUUCCUCCAUCCAUCUCACUACACUAGUGGGUGUGGAUCUUUAGAGGUCUUCAAUCUUGGAGACUAAAGGAGAACCAAGGAGCACUCAUUCUAACAAAGUGGAGGAGGCAAGGAGGGAGGCUAGGCUCAAGGAGUUCCAAGAGCAAAGAACUUGGAGGUGGUCCAUCCUUGGUCUCAAGUCUAGAUCAAGAGGUAUAAAACUACCUUCACUUUGUUCUUCAAUAAAAUGUUUUGAUGCAUCUUAUAUAAACCUAUGCUUCUUGAAGGGGAUUUGCAUGACUAUAGCUUUGAUAUUAUGUGAUAACAUGCUUCCGUUGCGUAUGUAUAUGAAUUUUGAAUUGUAUAUGCAUGCUAGUCACUAGAAAUCCCAAAUAAAUCUCAUUAUUUCCCUUCAAGAUGAACCUGGUCAAGGCUGCCACCUUGCCAGUAUGGCUCUGGAAGUCAUUUGAAGUUAUUGGCUCUUUCAUGUCAAUGAUUGCCUUGAUUUUCUCGGGGUUGGCUUUAAUGCCUCGUUGGCUAAUCAUGAAACCCAAGAAUGUUCCAGAGCCCACGCCGAAGGUGGAUUUGUUGGGGUUCAACCUCGUCCGAUACUUUUUCAGGAUGGUGAAGGUUUUAGACAGGUUGGUGAUGUGUUGGUCAACAUGUUUGCUCUUGAUUAGCAUAUCAUCAACAUAAACUUCCAUGCUCUUCCCAAUCUGUUCAGCGAACAUUGAAUUGACUAGUCUCUGAUAAGUCACCCCUGCAUUUUUUAGGCUGAACGACAUGACUUUAUAGCAAUAUAGUCCUCUGCCAGUAGUAAAGGCUGUGUGUUCUUGGUUUGGGGGGUUCAUGAGGAUUUGGUUUUACCCUAAGUAAGCAACCAUGAAGCUUAAAAGUUCACACCCUGCUGUAGAGUCCAUAAGUCUAUCAAUGAGAGGAAGGGGAAGGCUAUCCUUCGGGCAUCCUUUGUUUAGGUCGAUGUAGUCGACACACAUUCUUCACAAGAUCUUUUGAAGUAAGAGACUUUCUUUGGUCAGAUUUUUCUUAACAAGGACCACAUUUGUUACCCAUGUUGCGUAAUUUACUUCGCGGACCAAGCCUAUGCCUUUGAGUUUUUCAACUUCUGUCUUCAUUGCUUCGUAUCGUUCAACAUUAUAAGAUCUUUGCUUUUGUCUUACCGGCUUGGUCUUGGGAUCAAUACUCAAGCGAUGAUAGAUGAUAUCGGGAGAGAUGAUUGGCAUGUCCUCGUAUGACCAGGCAAAGACCUCAGUAUUCUCUUGCAAAAAAAAGAUCAAUGCCAACCGAAGGGGUGAUGACAAGGUGGUGCCAAUCUUCACAUGCGAUCUGGGUAAUCUUUUGAGAUAGAGACCCUCUCCAACUCUUCAGCAGGUUGUGCUUGUGGGGUGAAAGAGUCAUCUCGAGGAUCGUCGAGUUGACUGUUGCCACCAUGAAGAUCCAAGUUGGCUUCGUUCGGGCUGGUCUUUAUGACUUGAUCAUGUAUAGAAAGGGUUUCCUUAGGCACAAGCAGGUGUUGUUGCUUGAUUGAGGUGUUGUAACAUGAUCGUGCACUAAGUUGAUCUCCUCUGAUGUAAUCGUUGCCAUAGGGGGUUGGAAAUUUCAUCAACAACAUAUGUAUGGAUACCAUGGUUUUGAGAUCAUUGAUGCUAGUGCGCCCAAAGAUGACAUUGAAUGCCGUUGGGCAGUCAACCACUAGGAAGUUAGUGUUAAUGGUAGCUCUGUAAGGGCCUAUACCAAUGGUGAAAGGUAAGUGUAUGCUCCCUAAAGGUUGCACGAUAUCAUCGGAGAAGUUUGUCAUAGGAGAAAUCGAGUGAUCAAGCAAGUGUUUAGCUACAUAAAGUGCCCUGAAAGCUUCAACAAACAUGAUAUUGACCGAACCCUCAGUGUCUACCAAGAUUCGUCAUACUUCAAAGUUGGCUAUGUGAGCUUCCUCGAUCAAUGGGUCAUUGUGAGGGUAGAUGAUACCUCUUUCUUCCUCAGGUAGAAACAUAUUGGAUCCCAGUUAGGCUUGUGAUACUUGCCUCCCUUGAUGUCUUCCACAUGAAACACUUGGUGGCCAGGCCUCAAAGUUCGUUCAUUAUUUUUCAUGGCUCUGUUGGAAGAUAUAGAUAUGCAUAUGCCGCCACUUAUAGAAUAUAUCACAUUCACUUGGCAUUGGUUACGGUUAUCCCUUGGAGGGUGAAGGAGGAAUAGAUCAAAUUUUCCUCCACGUGCCAAAGCUUCGAUAUGAUCAUGAAGGGUGAUACACUUCUUGCCGUCAUGGCCGUUAUGCUUGUGGUAGCAGCAAAACGUGCCUGUGUUCUUCAUGGUCUUGUAAUCCGGUUGCCUCAACUUUGGCUUCGGUAUCAGGUGUGCUAUGCUGGGGUAAAUGGCCACGCAUGUGGCAUUCAAAGGUGUGUAUGCCUCAUACCUUGGGGUAGGGCAUGUCCUGACACGUGCUUGACCCACUGUGUUGACUACCUGAGGGCAGGGAUUAUCGUGGCGAUACCCUUAGUUAUUGCUGUAGUGUCCCUUACUCCUUUUACUAAAAUUGAAGGAUUAUUUUGUGAAAACAUGUUCUUUUAAGCAACAUCAAUAAGCAUGCAAUUAACAAUUAAAGGCGGAAUCAUGCUAGCAUGCACUUAAAAACAAAACAUUAACCAAGAAAUUCAAAGCCUAGUAGAUUGGUGAACCAUUAAUCAACUCAAAACAAAGUGAGUUGAAAUAUAUAUACCUUUGUAGAUUCCUCUUUGUAUUUAAACAAAGGCUAAUCACCCAAGAGAUAGGGCCUUCAUUCCUUGCAUCUUAGAUCCAUGGAUUUGGAUGGAUCUACACCAAGGAGAGCAUGGAUGAUAAAUGAGUGACCAUGGAAGAAUAGAUGGCUAGCUACAACUUCCAUGGUGGCCGGCCUUUCUAGAGAGAAAUGGAGAGACAUGUUCUCUCCAAUUUUCUCCAAAACAAACCCCUUAAUAAAUAAAAGGCUAUAAAGUCAUAUUUAUACCUUUAUUCAUUUGAGUGGCAAACUUGUAAUUAAAGCAAGUUCACUACCCUUUCUCUAUAUGGCCGGCCAUGGGGUUUGUUUGGGCUUUUGGGUCUUAGUGAAUCAUUAUUCAUUAAGUUGUCAUACAACUUAAGUCAAUGGGCUUGACAUUCGAAGCCCAUUGGGCCUUAAGGUCCAAAACCUAUCCCGAGGUCUUUAACGAACUUAUUCGUUUGAUUAAUUAACAUAUUAAUUAAUCCUUGCCAUAAAUAAUUAAACUAUUCAAUUAUUCUUACUCAUUUAGUUUGUUUCAUCCAUCUCCACCUUAUACGGUGUACGAUCCAUUAGGUUCCUUUUAGCGAGGCAGUGGGCGAUCAAAACUCUUUUCAAAUCGAUUAUGAAUUGAAACUUACUUUCAAUUCUCCCUUUAGUGAUAAUACACUUUUAGGGCUUCCACAAACCAUGAGUGACACCUAGCCGUAUGUCAUGGUUACCCAAGCUAAUCAGAAGAGGUUAAGAACCUAUUCAGUUUAGGAUUACAAAUGCAAUACGGUCUUUCUCUAAUCUAAUACUCCUGACCACAUUGUUUGGUUUGAUAGUUUAUUUAUUCAUGUCUACUAUCCAAUGUGAUUCGCGUGCUUAUAUGAUUUCCUUGAAUGUGAUUUAGAACGACUUUUCUAAAUCUCAUUCAUACUCUGGCCAGAGAUUCUAAAUCAUAUCAUAGAGUAUUCUCCCUCAAACGGUUUGAAGGUUAGAGAUCCCUUGUUGCGCAUUCACUCGCCUCCAUGACUAAGUGGCUUAACCCCAACGAUGCCGUGGACACCCCGAUGGGGUGACUUUGACAUAAUCAAAGAUCAAGGACUUAACCACAAGACAACUGUGAUGCCUCAGGUCAAAGGACUAAUUUGCAUUAUCCCAAACAUGAGUUCUCAUGUGACAUGAGUAUGAGAACUCUUCGUUGAUCGCGUUCAGUGAACUCAUUCUCUACUGAGCACCUACGUACUUGUCUUGAUGUCACACACACCAAUGACUCGAGACUAGUCACUCUCCCUGAGAGAAGACAUAGCACAUACCGAUCUUGACGGACUGUCAAUGCCCAAUUGGCAAUCCUAUGAUCAGGAACAUUUAGGAUGUGUCUACGAAAGAAUGGUCUCAUGAAUCUAACUUCAUUAGAUUACAUUCUCCCAAUCACAUAUUCCUUGGACUUUAUCGUUUAAGCAUAUAACAUUUAUAUGAGACGGCUCAAACAAUAAUCUUUGCCUUUUAUAGUUAAACUAGAUUAGUGAAAUGUCCGUAAAGUAUCAUCAUAUGAUUGGAUUUAGGGCACAUUUCCAACAAUCUCCCACUUGCACUAGAGCCAAUCAGCUUGGUCAUCAGUGAUGAUACCUCUUCUGUAGUCAUUUCAUAAAUGGCUGAGUAGUAGGCCUAGGCAAUGGAUAUAUAUUAUCCAUAGAAGCAACCUUGAGAAUAACGACGUCACCAUUAUACAUGAUUCUCAAUCAUGUGGUUCAGUCUCUCAUUUGAGUUCAGACCUUGAUGAGACCUUGAUUCCCAGGCUUGAGCUAUCGCCCCAUUAGUGUCAUAGUGUCAGUACACUAGAUACACUUUCUGGUUGGAACCGAAUAGAGAAUUCACUAAAUGAACUUUCCCAUCCAAACAACAUUGUUGCAAACUUCUAUAUGGCAAUAUAUUUUGCAUUCAUAAUGGAACACACUAAAGUCAUUACUUUAAUGUUUCCAUCCAAAUAUCUUUUUAGUCAUAAUAAAGAGAUAUUUGUUUAUCUCUUCAUUCAUAAUGAAGAAACAUCCAAUGAUGGAUUAGAUUCAUAAUCUAAUACAUUUACGCUUCCAUUACGUUACUCUAAUUCUUCCUCAAUCUUUGAGGAAUUUAUCCUUUAGUAUUUCUUAAAUACUUAAGGACUUACUUGACAGUUGCCAUGGUUCUGAUCCUGGGCUUACACUGAUAUCGUCUUGUACCUUUCUAGGUACAACCCAUAUCAAUGUUUUUCAUACAAUAUGAAAUACAUAAAUCACCUUUAUGCGUAUGCAUAAAGGAUUUAUUUACGCAUUAUUUCUUGGGAGUCAAAGGGUAUGUUCCCUUUGAGAAGGGCAACUUGCUAGUCACACUAGAGUCAUCCUUCUAAUUGAAGUUUAUCAUCAUAUGAGAAACUUCCUAGCAACUUUUGUCUAUUAUUAGGGAUUGAUAUAAUCAAAUUAUAUCUUGAAAUCUAUCAAUAUAGAUUUCCAUCCCAUGUAUAUAGACUAUGUCUCCCAUAUACAUUCUAUCUUCAUAUAAUGUUUAAAGUCAUAACUUUAACGAAGAAAUAUUCUUUUCAUUUCCAAAAUUAAUAUAUCAUACAUAUAUUCAUAUAUAUCACAUAUAUAUAUAUAUAUAUACAAAUUUAGGAAUAUGAUUAACUCCCACUAAUCUUUUGUAAAACUAGUAAACAAAAGAUUCAUUUACAUCUUUAUGAGAAAUCAAACGAUUUGACCUUUCUCUCAUAAGACGCUUAUAGCUCCCACUAGCUUGCUAAGAUCCAUGAUGGAUGGAUCUCUACAACUUAUAUGUCUUGUGAUUCAUAGUUUUAGACAUAUAUUAUCAAGACUAUCUUAAUAAUGGUUUCGGAAACCCAUAUUAUGUUCAAACAUUGAAUCACCAUUUAGUUGUAGCUAGCAAUCUUCGAAUUAAUUGAAACUAAGACUACGUCAAAAAUGGUUCCUUCAAAGUCAACCAUUCUAUUUGAUUGUAGUCACCUUAAGCUACCAAUUAGCUUAUGAAGGUUUCAUUAUUUCGGGUCAAAUGGUACUUUACCAUUCCCAUGAGUAUAUAUCGUAUAUGCACUCAAUGUAGUCAUAAGGAUUUUCAUUCUUAUUUCUUUCGAAUUAAGAGGUGCAACUCUAUGACAUAGUCAUAAAGUUCAAACCAUUCAACUGAGACGGUUUAUAAAUCCUUCUCGACUACCUUGGAGCUUGUGGUAUAGGAACUAGGUUGUUAUAUUUGUUGAUUACUUUCUUGUCUCUCAAAGAACCAUUCUUUGAGUUCUAUCCUUCGUUCAUUUGCUCUUAGGCAAAUCACAUUGUAGGAUUACAAUGAACUACCCAACAAAACAACAUUUGUUAGUUGGUUUAUAGAAGCGAUAUCCAAAAGUUAAUUUAAGGAUAUCCCACAAGAUUGUUUUCAAACAAAUAUUGCUUAUUAGCACACAACCCCAAAUCUUAACAUGCUUAAGAUUUGUCUUUCUUUCCAACUACAUCCUAUGGAGUCAUGAAAAAUUUGGAAGAUCUUCUAAUUGACAAUCAUAUUGUUUUAGAAGCAUAUAUAUCCUAUAUAUGGGUAAUUGAUAAUAUCCAACGAACUAAAUCUUAUUCAAGUUCGUUCUUCUCCUAAAGGAGAAAUUCAUUAUCUUAUGAUGCUAUUUUCCUUGAUAUCUUUCAAGAAAACUAUUCUAAAGUGUUACCAUUCCUUGGAUCAAAUCUAAGGAUGUAAAUACUUUAGACGUCUUACUCAUCAACUUACAUUUCUUGAAUUCUUUGAAACCUUUUGCAAAGUAUUCGGACUUGUGUUAUAUUCAAAAUAAACUAUAGUUCAACCGAGAGUGAUCUUUGGUGAAUGUCAUACAACAUGAGUAGUAUUAUGUUGUGGACAAGUGCCACUAACAUCUAAGUGAAUUAACCUCAACAACUUUGUGAUUCUUUAUUCUUUCCAAAAGAAUGAAGAUUCAAACAUUUUGCCUCUAUACAAUUUUAACAAGAAGGCAUUGGAUCCGGAUCUAACGAUCCUAAGUAUCCAUCUAUGACUAACUUGUAAUUUAUGUUUUUAGAGGUAUCACAACUUUAGUUGGGAUUAGUCACUACCUUGCAACCUUUUGGGUUUUAAGCAUCGUUGUAUUAUAAACAGUUAAUACUACCAUAUCAUCUCUACUAUAGAGACAAUCAAUUAGAUUACUAUAAUCCAAUCAUUGAUUAAUAAAGAACAAUGUUUUGUCAAACAAAACAUUCAUCCAUCUCUACUAUAGUGACGGAAUUAAAUUCCUUAAAAUUGGAAUGUAAAGACAAUCUUUGGUUUUUCCAAUUUCUUUGGUAGUUCAUGUGAGGAAGUAAGUACCAUCUGCUUUCGCAGAAAUCUAUAUUUAAUUCACUUUCCGAAUGUGAAGUACUUUCUCUUCUCUCAUUAAUCUUCUACUUCUUAUUAGCCACACUUUUACAACGAUUGUAAAACAUAGUUACUAAUACGGAAUCAAACAUUCAAGUAGAAGAACCAACUGUUUUGAACUAUUCAAGAACAAUUUACAACACCUUCGAAAGGUGUGUUCUUGAUACUUGCAAGACAUUUCUUGCAAAUACCCCUUCCAAUGUCCAUCCUUUCAUAAAGAAAGUUUGUUCCCUUGGAGUUAUUUCGCUUUCUUCAUUUGACUUCUCCUUUGACUACCAUAGUCAAGGUCCCUAAACUCCCACUAUCUCUCUUGAAACCUUUUUCAAUUGUGUUAUACACAUCAAACAAUUUGGAGAGCUUGUGGUUAUUGUUCACUACAUAGUUUACAAUAAACUUAGUGAACGAUUAGGAUAGGGACACAAAGGUGAAGUCCUUGCCUAGUUCCCGUCUCUAGAAGUGUUCUAACACUUCAACACUCAAUGAUUCAAAAUCAUCAUAAGUCCAUGUUGAUGCACUAUUUUUGUCAACCAACCAUUAUGUUCUAAACAUAAUUACAAACUUUCAAGAGUUGUUCAAAGCAACUCUCAUUUCUUCAUACAACAAUUUGUAAGUGAAGAAUCAUGGCACAUUAAGUGUCCAUGCCUUUGUGCUUUCUUCUUAAGUUCUUUGUUCAUUUAACAAAGAAACAAGCACUAAGUGUUUGCAUUGACUAAGGGUUGUUCAAAACAACUCAUUAUUUCUUCAUACAACGAUUUGUAAGUGAAGAACUAAUAACACUAAAAGUGUCCUUUUCUUUAUGCUAAUCUUCGUAAGUUCCUUUGUUCAUAUAACGAAGGAAUAAGCAUUGGUUGUUUGUGUUGUCCUCUUCAUGAUAGACUUUUCUAACAUGUUCUUCCAAUGAUACAUUAUCAUUAGGAAGAUUGUGAGGAUGAGACUACUUAGAUACAUAUGCAAUCCUUUUAAGACAUUCUUUGGGAUUGUGGUACCAAGUCCGGAAACUAAAACACUCGGUUUUAUUUGUCAAGUGUUGGAUAGCGUUUGCAAAUAUAUUGGUAAACAAAUACAUAACGAAUAUAAAUUGAUUGAUUUUAAGCCAUUUGAUCCGGGUCUUUAAAUCAAAUAGCACCACCCACUAUUUUUUGGCAAAUUCCAUAUCCCUCAAAGGAAUUCGAGAGUUUUGGAUGAAACUCCUAGUAGGUUAUGGGAGGCUCACUAUUACCAAGCCCACCUCACGAUGAUACGAUGUUUGGCUAGCAACAAUAAUAAUGAGAGAGUACACUUACUCAUUUGCAACUAAUGCAAGUACCCAUCUUAUUUGGCCUCUAGAGAAUGUCACCUCACAAUGAUAUGAUGUUGGCUCCAUUGCACUUAGUUAAGUCAUUCCCACCAUGCUUAGUUCGUGAAGGGGUUCAAGAAUAGCCUCACGAUGAUACGAUGUCGGCUAUCCUCGUUGCCUACACUAACCUCAUCAUAUGUUUAUGGAUUCCUCCUGAGUAUAAGCAUGCACUUUGUACUCCCCCAUGAUAGGGUGAAGCCGGUGUACAAGUCAUAAACGAUUGGAGCCACCACGGUGGAAGGCCUACGAAAGAGUGUUCUAAGCACUCUCACGCUUAUCAACUUAAUAAGGGUUUGGUUGAGGGUUUUAGGUCUCAUCACAUAUAAACAUACAUUUUAAUCUCUAUUAAAACUAUUUUGGUCCUAUUACAACUAUUGGUCCAUAUGAUUGUUUUUAGUUGUAUAUAAUACUCCCACUAUGCUUAUAAAACGGUUUUUAAAGCAAGAGUAUAUGAUACUACUAACAUAACCUUUGCAUUCAUUUGAUGGACUAUAUAGUUGCCUUAGGGCCUUAGGAUGAUUAUGAACCUUUGUUUAGAUUCAACACGAGCCUUGUGUUGAAUCUCGGUCUAGGGAUGGUGAUUGAUUUUAGUUACGCGUUUAAUCAUAUUAAGGCGUGUUGUCUUAGGGGCGUUGGACCCAACUACUUCAUUUUCAUGCAUAUCAAAUAAAGCAAGAAAGAAGUACUUCAAAGUAAAGGUGAGCUUAUGCUCAUUACAACAUUUGCAUAAAACAAAUUACUUUAAAGUAAAGAAGAGCUUAUGCCCUUUUACAACAUUUGAUCAAAUCAAAUUACAACCAAAAUCUAAUCUACACAUUCCCAUGGUUCAAACAAAUUUGAAACGGCCUUUCACAUAGCUCAAUUAUAUUAGGCUUAGGUUCAUAAUCACCCUUUAAUUAAUUAACACUUUAACUAAUUAAAUUGAAUGCAACAUUUUCAUUUGGUUUUUGUAUCCAUAAAAUUGAUUUAAAUGGAGCUAAACAAAAUGAAAUCCAAUUCUCAUUUAAAGAGACAAAACAAUUUUGUUCUCAACCUAAUUUAGGCCAUCAUGCAAUAACCACAACUUAUUUGGGUCAUUAAGCAAUUAACCUCAACUUUUGGGCUAUGUUGCAAAACUUUUGGGGUCACUUUGUAAAGACACAAAAGUCCACUACUUCAUGUAAUUACAAUAGAACCCAAAAUUUAAUCAAUGCAAAAACUUCAUUAAAGGAUCAAAACAAUUUGUCCUUUAGCGUUUUUGGACCUAAACGUAAAAACGUAAACUUUUGGGCCAAAGUGCAAAUACACAAAAGUAUCAAAACUUUAUGUAAUUGCAUAAAAGCCCCAAAAGUACUCCCACUUGAGGGAGGGCCGGUUUUGGAAGAAGAAAUGGAGUGAUGUGUGUGUUGAUUUGUAGUUUGACAUAAAGCAUGCAAGUGCACAAGUGGUGUGUGUGAAAGGGUUUUAAUCCUUUCACACCCACCAUUAUUUCUAUUGCCAUUUAAACAAAUAUCUAAAACAUUUAAACAUUUGAAAAUGCAUAAAACAUAAACUUUAUGAAAUAAAUCAAAACUUUGAAUCAAAACACAAACCUUUUUGUUCUUGGCAAAAAUGUCAAGAACAAUGAAGAACAUUCAUGAAAAACACAAAAAAUUUCCAUGAACAUUUUUCACUCAAAAAACAUUCCAAAACCAUUCAAACUUAAGGGAAAUAACAUCUAACCAAACUAGGGUACAUAGGGGUUCCAAAAGUCACUUGAAAACACUUUUAACAAGUCAAACAAGAACCCAAAAAUCCACCCUUUGGAUUUGGCCGAAAAUCCCCAAAGUCAUGGCACCAAAUUUUAGCUCCAAUAUUCAUGCUCAUAAGAACUACAUCUACAACAUUUGAGAUGGCAAAUUUUCUAACAAAAUUUACAUUCAAAGAAGCAAGAAUAAAGCUUGUAACAAUUACAACUUUUAAAUCACAAACUAUGAACUACAAAACCCAAAAGGAUUCACCAACUACUAGACCUAGGCUCUGAUACCACUUGAAGGAUUAUUUUGUGAAAACAUGUUCUUUUAAGCAACAUCAAUAAGCAUGCAAUUAACAAUUAAAGGCGGAAUCAUGCUAGCAUGCACUUAAAAACAAAACAUUAACCAAGAAAUUCAAAGCCUAGUAGAUUGGUGAACCAUUAAUCAACUCAAAACAAAGUGAGUUGAAAUAUAUACCUUUGUAGAUUCCUCUUUGUAUUUAAACAAAGGCUAAUCACCCAAGAGAUAGGGCCUUCAUUCCUUGCAUCUUAGAUCCAUGGAUUUGGAUGGAUCUACACCAAGGAGAGCAUGGAUGAUAAAUGAGUGACCAUGGAAGAAUAGAUGGCUAGCUACAACUUCCAUGGUGGCCGGCCUUUCUAGAGAGAAAUGGAGAGACAUGUUCUCUCCAAUUUUCUCCAAAACAAACCCCUUAAUGAAUAAAAGGCUAUAAAGUCAUAUUUAUACCUUUAUUCAUUUGAGUGGCAAACUUGUAAUUAAAGCAAGUUCACUACCCUUUCUCUAUAUGGCCGGCCAUGGGGGGUUGUUUGGGCUUUUGGGUCUUAGUGAAUCAUUAUUCAUUAAGUUGUCAUACAACUUAAGUCAAUGGGCUUGACAUUCGAAGCCCAUUGGGCCUUAAGGUCCAAAACCUAUCCCGAGGUCUUUAACGAACUUAUUCGUUUGAUUAAUUAACAUAUUAAUUAAUCCUUGCCAUAAAUAAUUAAACUAUUCAAUUAUUCUUACUCAUUUAGUUUGUUUCAUCCAUCUCCACCUUAUACGGUGUACGAUCCAUUAGGUUCCUUUUAGCGAGGCAGUGGGCGAUCAAAACUCUUUCAAAUCGAUUAUGAAUUGAAACUUACUUUCAAUUCUCCCUUUAGUGAUAAUACACUUUUAGGGCUUCCACAAACCAUGAGUGACACCUAGCCGUAUGUCAUGGUUACCCAAGCUAAUCAGAAGAGGUUAAGAAACCUAUUCAGUUUAGGAUUACAAAUGCAAUACGGUCUUUCUCUAAUCUAAUACUCCUGACCACAUUGUUUGGUUUGAUAGUUUAUUUAUUCAUGUCUACUAUCCAAUGUGAUUCGUGUGCUUAUUGCUUAUAUGAUUUCCUUGAAUGUGAUUUAGAACGACUUUUCUAAAUCUCAUUCAUACUCUGGCCAGAGAUUCUAAAUCAUAUCAUAGAGUAUUCUCCCUCAAACGGUUUGAAGGUUAGAGAUCCCUUGUUGCGCAUUCACUCGCCUCCAUGACUAAGUGGCUUAACCCCAACGAUGCCGUGGACACCCCGAUGGGGUGACUUUGACAUAAUCAAAGAUCAAGGACUUAACCACAAGACAACUGUGAUGCCUCAGGUCAAAGGACUAAUUUGCAUUAUCCCAAACAUGAGUUCUCAUGUGACAUGAGUAUGAGAACUCUUCGUUGAUCGCGUUCAGUGAACUCAUUCUCUACUGAGCACCUACGUACUUGUCUUGAUGUCACACACACCAAUGACUCGAGACUAGUCACUCUCCCUGAGAGAAGACAUAGCACAUACCGAUCUUGACGGACUGUCAAUGCCCAAUUGGCAAUCCUAUGAUCAGGAACAUUUAGGAUGUGUCUACGAAAGAAUGGUCUCAUGAAUCUAACUUCAUUAGAUUACAUUCUCCCAAUCACAUAUUCCUUGGACUUUAUCGUUUAGCAUAUAACAUUUAUAUGAGACGGCUCAAACAAUAAUCUUUGCCUUUUAUAGUUAAACUAGAUUAGUUUAACAUGUGAAAUGUCCGUAAAGUAUCAUCAUAUGAUUGGAUUUAGGGCACAUUUCCAACAAAAAUGAGAUUGGUGAGGUUGAAAAUCUUUCCUUUUGCCCUGAGAUUGAUAUGUCUGUUGACUUGGCAAAGUAUUAAGUAAGGCAGGGGGAGGCACCACUGCCGUUUGGAAGGUUGAUGUCUUCUUAUUUGGUUGGAUUUGGCUUCCACUCCUUACUUGCUGAUAAGGGGUAGUUGUAGGGGGUUUCCCUUGAUAUGUCAUUGCUUCGGCGGAGGCAUGGUUGUAAGCUUGUGCCAUCACCUCAAAGUAAGUCUUCCAAGUGUUGACAUUGAUCAUGUAGUUGAAGAAAUAGUCACGUAGGCCUGCCAUGAAGGCCUUGAGGGCGGUUUUGUCAUCUGCCUUAGCGCAGUGAGAAUACUCAUGGUUGAAGCGGCCGGCAUACUUUCGUAAUGACUCUUCCAGAUUCUGGCGAAUAGUGUACAAGUCAUCUUCAGAAUGCAAGCGAUCGGUCUGGAAGAUGUAUUGAGAGACAAAUAGUUUCCUCAGUUCCUCAAAUGAGUCUACUAUCUCAGGUAGAAGACUGCAAUACCAAUUUAGGGCUCUGCCAGAGAGGAUGGAAGGGAAGAGAAGACAUCGCUCUUCGUUGGUGUGCAUCCGAUAUUCCAUGGUGGACUUAAAGAGGUUAAGGUGUUCAAUCGAGUCUUCCCUUCCAAUAUAGGAUUGUAAGUCGAGCUUCUACUUUGUCUUCUCUUGAAGGGGGUGUCGAUGAUCCUCCUUGUAAGAGGGCCAGGCCUGGGUUGGUUCCAAUCAGGUAUCUCGGUUUGACGUUCACCCUUUAACUUGUUUACUUCCUCAAGGAGUUGUAGGACAAGAGGGUCCUAAAUGGAGUCAUGUACCACUGGAGUUUUCUUCCGUAAGACUCCAUUGCCUCUUGAAAGUAGGAAAGCUUAAGCAAGGACGUGUGAUUUUUCCUUGGACUCGCCGUACUGACUUCUAGGGCGAGUCUGUCGGAAUACCUCUGAGUCUCCUGUACGUUCAUGUUCCUCUGGGACUUGUCGUUCCUUCUAGAGUGGUAGCUGGCCUGGGUCGUGGGAGAGGACUGAGUCUUUUAAAAACCCUUGGGUCAUUGAUCUUCGAGCUUAUGUGGAUGAGAUUCUCUUGACAUUGCUUUAGGAAGUCUCGACAGUCAUGAUAAACGGCUUUCGAUCCUUCCAACCCUUCUGCAAGGAAGUGCCUUCCUCCACUUCUCGUGCUUUGGGUCGAAGCGGCUAGGUUGAGAGAAGUCUCAUGUUGAUCAACAUUCUGAUGAUUAACUCGCUCCUCAUCAGGGAUACCCAUGUCGAAGGAAGGUGACUAUUCGUGUUGGGGGGAACCCAGAUGAUGGUUGACGUCCACAAGGGCAACAAGCUCAUGUGUUUGAGUGCGCCUAGCUUCAUAGAGCGUCUCGAAGAACUUCUCAUAUUGCUCCUGGAGGAUCUCAUGCUUUAUUGCUAUCUUGUUGUUCUAAGCCUCUAGCUCUUCAACUUUAGCUUGAAGAGUGAGCUUUUUUCGUUCCUUCUUUUGUAGCCUCACACUAGGCGCGAUGAGGGUGUCGUUCUGUGUGCUGUGGCUUUCUUCGCUCCCCAUGUUGGAGAGGGAUGCCUGGUCAAAAUAGAGUGUACGAACGGUGGAAACCAGCUUGACAAAGCUAAAGAGAGUAGGAAUAAAUGCAUUCCCACAAACGGCACCAAAUGUUGAUGCACAAAAUCAGUGAGGACUUUGGUACAACAGAAAGUGUUAAGUUUGUGAACUUCGCUAGAUUGCUCCGGUUACUAGUAUGAUAGGUAUGUGAAUGGACAGAAACAGGGAAGCAAACACAAGAUGUACGUGGUUCACCCAGAUUGGCUACAUCCAUGGAGUAUAGGAGUUCUCAUUAAUUGUGAAGGGUUUACACAAGUACAUAGGUUCAAGCUCUCCUUUAGUGAGUUCUAGUAAAUGAUUUAGUACAAAUGACAUUAAGAAAUAUUGUGAGAGAAUGAUCUCCUUUUAUCGAAGAGAGUCUCUAGCUUUGUUCUGACUUUGAAACGUGUCGUGAUGUGGUUGGCCUCUGAUGUUGACAUGUGUCGCACUAUGAUUGGCCUUUGAUGUUGACAUGUGUCGCGCUACGAUUGGCAUCCUAGUUGGAGAGAAACUCUUGUGGAUCCUUGAUGGUAUAAUGUUGACCGGUGCUCAGUAGUUUCAGGAUUGGUCAAGUAUGGUACAAACACUAUGCAUUUAUGCAUUUAGAGCUUAUUAUGCUACACCCUGGUGUUAGUGCUCUCGCCCGAGGCUAGGGCACAGCUUUCACGUGAUUGUUCACCUCCUGCACCGCACGCUCACCUUGGAUCCAAGUUUUGGUGCUAGCCUGUCGUACAGACCACAAUAGGUGGUUCCGACUCGUAGGUGACCCGCGAUCUAUCGCAUAGCUUUCACGUGAUCGUAGCACUUGAGUUUACUUAUUUACACCUAGCCUGUCGUACAGGUCACAUUAGGUUACUCCGACUCGUGUGCGGACAUAUGUUGAUGAGCUAUAAAUCCAGUCAUAUAGGUCAUGUUAGGUGACUCCGACUAGCAUACUACUUUAUAUUGGUUUCACACUAGGCUUACAUCUUUUAGUGCUGAAAUAUUAUCACAUGCCAUACUUCAGUUUUCGUUGGCAUUGUGCAAUGGUUUUUCGUACCUACGUAGUAGUAUUAUUUGGAAACUAUACAGGUUUUAUGGAGAGGGAUUAUUAUGUUCAUAAAACUAAAUAUGUUUUCAAACACUUUGUUUUUGCCCACCCACCCUUCUGUUUUGCGCCUCUCUAGGUUCUAGGUAGCUAAUCAUCUUUGGUGGCUCAUAAGGACAACACGAUAGUUCUGACGUUUCCACAAAUGAAAGUAGGGAUCUUCUCCUUAUUUGUAUAAUUAGUACUUAGUUAUUUUGACUGCACUUUAUUUUUGCCUACGCUCUGAUAUGCGUGUAUCUUAUAAUUGAUCACUUUCACACACUUACAUAGUAUCUCUAGUUAAAUAAGUUUAGUUUUGGUUUUUAAUUAUUCACAUUUAUUUUAUUAGUAUCACUUCUGUUGCGCACUUGGCUACUCACCCUCACGUGAUAACCAGCAUGCCUCAACUCUGGUCCGAGUGUGUCAGUUUAUGUAGUGAGAAACCAAUUGAAAAAAGGAUGAUAUAAAAAUUUGAAAAAGAAAACGGAAAGUAAGAAAAAAGAAAAAAAUGGGGCGGGGGUUGGGGGGCGAGAAUACGUGUUGAACCUUUAAAGACUAUAUGUGUUGAACCUUCAACCUUCAAAGACUACGAAGAAUAAGCACGAACCAGUUAGCAGUUUGCUCCGUUGGAAUCCCACGAUCUCAUGUCAGUUUAGUGGGAGGUUCAACUAUAACUACCCACAUGCCAAAUUUCCUUUUUAGAGAUGAAUAAUCAGAAGGAAGCCAAUUUUUCGUUUUCAGUUUACUAUGUGGACCAUCUAUUUAUAUUUACUUACUAUUGUUCAUGGACUUAUAGGAACUUGCAUCUAAAAUUCCAUGUUGAUUGACGAUUGCAUGAAUAACAUAUAAAUCAUUACUUUAUGCAAAGUAGAAAAAAAAAUAUGACAAAUGUUUAGGACGUCCAUGAUAAAGAAAACCUGAUAGUGGUUCUUUUUCCCACCAAAGAAAUUACCCCACUAAUAUGUUUUAAAACUGUGCGGCGUAUAACACCCGUGAUUAGAGAAAAAUAAGGUUUGACUAUGUGCGUUAAUUAUAAAACAUGGUUAUAAUAAUCAUUGUAACACAACUGUAGAGAAAAAAAAAUCAUAAGGAAAUUAUUGAAAAAAGAAAGAAAAUAAUAAAAGUUGUUAUGAUGUACGCAAACAUACAAUCUACAAAAUAAUCACUUAAGAAUAUCUAAAGCAACCCAUCUUUGGGGCGCGUAGCGCCUGUGAUGCAAAAAGGCCUCUCGCAUGCAAGUGAGCGUGUGCGAAGAGACUAGUAGAAAAUAAAAGAACGGGAAGGAAGAAAAAAAAUUUAAAAAAAAACAAAAAAUAAAAAAAGGAAAAGGUUGAGAGGUUUUGAGGCCCACACGGGCAAAGAAAAAAAUAUGGUUAAGUUUGUUUUACGCCCGCAUGAAUUGUUGGUUGGCUUGUUUGGAAUUGAUUUUGUGACAUCACUCAAGUGUUUGGAUUUGUGACCACUUGAGUGGUAGUAUUUUGUUUUUGUUUGUUUGUAGUUACAAUUGAGAUAUGGAAAUCUUGUCCGUUUAGUGAUGAAUUCUUUUCAUACUCUUAACACUAGUCAGUUCAGAAUUAGUUUACCUUCCAGAAUCAAUUCGCCAGUUCGCAAAGUUCACCAAGUUCACCAGUCAAGUCAAGUCAAGUCUAGUUCAUAAGUUCACCAAUCAAGUCAAGUCAAGUCAAGUCUAGUUAAGUCAAGUCAAAUCAAGUUUGCAUGCCUGCUUGUCCACAUCUGCUUGUUUACAAACCCAUGUUGUGACAGCCCGUCCCGAAAUAUAUUUUUGAUAGUGUGAAAUGUCUUUAUUGCCCUUGAGCAUUUAGUGGUUGUGUGUGUGUAAACGAGCUAAGGAUUUGGACCAUGACAUGUUUUUCCUAAGUUUUUGGACCUAAUUGGAAGUAAGCUUUUGUUUGUUGGUUGGUAGCCCAAAACUGGACCACACACACACACCCAUACCACUCCCGUUGACCCUCUCUCUCUCUUCUCUCUCGGAUUUUUUCCAUUUUCCAUACAACCGUACAGACAACUCUUAACCAACCCUUUCAUGCACGGAUCGAGGUUGUGGUUGGUGUUUUUGGACUCCUUGCAAGCUCAGGAGUCGAUCUAUACCUUUCGUUGCACUUUAAAGCUUCGAAAGCUCAGGAACUAGGAAACCUCAAAGAGGUGCACAGUAGCUCAGUCUUGAUCGCGAAGAUUUCAUUGAGUUUUAAGGUCCUAGGGAGCCUUAGAACUUGUUGACGAAGCUUAGGGAAGAAUUUUGAAGGGUUUUGGACGUCGGGAAGUCCAAGUUCGUGGAGUUGCAGAGGUAGCCGGACUAUCGAAGUUUUCCCGGCGAGUUUUAGGACCUAAAAGUGGUAAGGAUUUUGUUCCUCUCAUCCUAAGCUUCAAUUUGGUACAAAUUUCAUAAAUUUUGGUUGAUAAAUGAGGAAGAUUUGACGAUUUGAAGUUUUUCCCAGUUUCCGGUGACGGCGACGAAAUCCGGUGAGUCGCCAGAGAAGAAGGAGAAUAUUCUGUCAAAGUUGACAGAAUAUUCCUAACGGCGUCAGGUAUAUUUAACAACAUAUUCUAUAUUUUAACGGAAUAUUCCCUAACAACAUUAAUGAUUCCGUUUGGUGUGCCAGGCAUGUGUCUGCGCGUGAGUGAUCGAAAUUUUUUUCUAAAAAUAUAGGGAUGUUCGUGGGGUUGAGUAGAUCACGUUGGUAUAUUCAAACACCCCAUUUGAGCAAUAUAUGAGAAGUUAUUACCUAAUUUUGGUUAUGUGCUUUAAAAUAACGUUUAUAUAGUUGUUUAGCAUAUAGGUGAGACUUAUCCUGAGGAAGAGCGCAUUCAAACGAGACUCAGGGGCUACGACCCUUCUACAUAUCAGUGAGUGGGCUUUUGGUUUUCAGUAUAUAUAUAUAUAUACACACACACACACACACACACACUUGGUAUUUUUCCCAGAAAACUUAAUUAAAUGGUUUGAUAUUUUGAAAUGCCAUGUCAAAUGCUCUCUUUAUAUCGUUAUUCUUCCGCACUACGCACAUAGCUACGUCACCGUCAUGUGACAGCCAACAUGCCUCGAUCUAUGUCGGGGUGUGUCACAUGUUGUAUACCGAUAUGAGUUUGGCGGGGGGUGUUGGAAUAUUAGUAUUUUAGGUAUUAUAUUGUUUGGGUUUUCUUAUAAGUUUAGUUUGGGCCUAGCCUGUUAGUAUUAGGGUUAGGUUUGUUCGCUAUAAAUAUAAUGCUUCGUAGCUCUUCAGAAUAAGUCAUUCACAAUUUAGCCUCUUGGAGUUUUGUAGCCGUUCUGGCAUUCUUGCCUAUUAAAAAUUUUCUUAUUAUUUUGUAGUCUCGUUCGUUCGCAAUCUGAUAUUCAACUAUUAAAAUCUAUUCACAUCCAUAGCAAAAUCUAUUUACAUCCUUAUGUUCAAUAAGGUACAAAAAAAAAAAAAAGUGUUUGUGGAAUAUAUUAAGCCAUUUACAUAGUCAUGUUAAACAUGAAAAAUAUUUCCACAUUUUUGUUCAGUACUUCCCUCUCCUUUUUUCUUCACUGCCAAGAGAUGUUCUUCUACCAUCUGGUUGAUUCAGAUAUUCAUAGUCCUUUUGAAUAUCGGGUGAAUAAAAUUGAAACCUAAUAUAACAGAUUGAUAGCUAGGAAGAAAGAAAAACACAUAUAUGAAUAUAUAAUUUUCAACCACCCUUAAUUUAUAAUUAAGCUAAGAAAUACACAGCUUAAUUAUAAAAAUAUUUAUCAACUACCAUGCAAAUAGCAGAUUAUUUAUUAACUACCAUGCAUAGGAUUAUUAAGAAUGAAUCACAAUUAACCUGUAAUAUAGAACAUCUACCUUUCACUUUCACUUGUAUAUUGAUUAAGCUUCUAAGCUUCGAAAAAACACUCCAUGAGAAGAUAAACAUAGUCAAGAAAUGAAAAUAAAACAAACACUGAAAGAAAGACAGUUGAAAUGAAUACAGAAGUUGUUCUAAAUAAUCCCAUUGAAACCAUUAAAAUAAGCAAGUGGCCCUUUACCACAGUGGUGGAAAGGUGUUGAGCCCUUGCAUGACAGCGUGAUUUCAAACUCGGUUAGUAGCUAAUUUAACAUCUAAUCUAACAAAAUCUAUCAUUUGUGUUGACGCUAAAAACUACCAAGCCUACAUGGCCCGCAGGCCGAGUAAUUAAAAAGCUAACUACGUCCUUCGGUUGUGUGCGGGGCAUGCCAACUCGUCGGCCGAACUCGGCCGAGGAGUAAAAUGUGUUGAUGUUGCGUUGGGCACGCUGCUAACUUCUUGAUCUUACGACUGCAGCCAAGGAAGGAACGCGUCUCGACCUUCGGGUCCUAGAGCCUGAAGAUAAGCUGCUAGUUCUGCGAAGCUCAAAAAUCGUCGGCGCCGAAUUCGGUCAUAGUGAUUAUAUUCGUAAGAGUAUAAGCAAACCAAAUUGACACCAGACUAUAUGGGCACAAUUACUCAAAACAGAUGUACGUCUUGAUUGUGAAUGUGGUUCGACUGUCAGAAUGUUGAACUCUAAAUCCUACUUGUGAGUAUCCAAUCAUAAAAUAACUCGGCGUUCAACGUGCCGAGCCUAGUAAUUCGUAACACCUCACUUCACCGAGAAGGCUAAUGAAAUGACCUCUACCAAUAAGGAUUAAAAAAUCCUUCUCGACCAAGACUUGGAUAGAUAAUCAGUCAGCAUCGAUGCAGUGCUGUUUAUCCAAACUGAAGGUGCUCUGUGGUCGGCUGAUUCUACGGCAACAUUGCUGUUUAUCCAAACUGAAAGUGUUCACCGGUUGUCUCCACAGUGUUGUUUAUCCAAACUGAAGAUGUGUUGGCGAAAAAGAAAAUAAAAAUCUCAUGAUGUUUGAGAGGUUUCGCGUAGAGCGAGGGUUUGUGUAGGGUAGUUUGUGUGUUCAGUUAGAGGGGAUUUUGAAUGAAGCACCUUCUUCUUAUUUAUAGUAACCAAUCUCGUCAUGGCUCUUAUUUAUAGCAACCACUCUCAUCAUGGCCGAAACAAAACUUUACUCGGAUUAGGAUUCUUUAUCCUAAUCUCACCAAGACUCGACCAAUCCUACCUCCAUUAGGACUUUGAACCAAACUCUUUAUUUGGCCACAUUCACUUCUUAAAUCUCAGCAUCCUUAUCCUAUUGAGACUUCUUAUUAUACUAGGAUUCGACCUACCUUAUCAAUCCGUCUUAGACUAGGGUUCGGCCUGUAAUAACUGGAAUUCACGAUGGUUCUAUAAUUAUACUGUUAGGCCGAGACCAACUCCUUACUUGGCCCACACCAAUAAUUUGGGCCUAAACAUUGCCCCCUCACUUCUGAAGUCCUUAACUUUCAUUCCAAGGCUGAGCCUCGACCUUGAAGAAGCAAAAACGACUCUUACCUCUUAUAAAAACUGACAUGCCUUGAAUACCCCAACCAUGCGCAUUUAUGAGACACGAUCACACGUUUGUUAUUCUCUUAACAUCCUGCCACUUGGCAAUUUUUUACUUGUUUGUCCUUGACACUGAAACGCCUAGUCUUCCACACACCAUCAUUACAACCUUGAUUUGCGAAAUUGUAGUCUUUUUGAGUCCUGCACAUAAUUAAACGUCUCCUUAUCAUUGAAUCCGCCAUCAUAUGUCAUCAUGUAGCCUCAAUCUACGAAUUUAUUGGCCUUUUCAUAUGGGUUUCACGAAUCUCCAUAAUGAUUGUUAAACUAUCCGACUAGUCUUAUCCUUUAUUCGAAACUCUAAACCAUUAGGCUUUCAGCCCAAAACCCCUAUAAAUACCCAUUUCUUCUUCGUUCAAACUCUACGCUUUACUAAUUCGCGAACCCCUCUUACUCCUGGCUCUCGAGUUACUCGAAAACUCUCAACCCAGAAAUUCUUCGAUUCCUCAUCAAUGGAUUCCUUCAUUUCCAAGCUUUUCCGACGAAUGCAACAAAUGCCAAAGCUUCAUCGAUCGAAGCGCUAUCAAAACUCUGCACUUCGAAGGUAAUUUGACUGCCUCCCACCAGAUAUUGGGGUCACUUUUCAAAGACGUCGUACCAUUGUCCAUCACCACUCUCCUCAAUGAUCAUUGCCUGACACCUUUGUUGCAAGGGUUCAAUUGGUUGAAGUGGGACCUGACCAAGCCCCAAAGAGCCUGGCCCUCAACCACCACAACUUGGGUAGCUUGGCUCGAACGGAUGGAAAAAAUCUUUGGCCAAGAAUGGAAGACUCUUGGCAUCUAUGAUUCCAGUAAACUCUCGACCGUGGAAAUCGUCAUAGAUAGAGAACUUCUUAUGGCAACUUUGUGUUUUUGGUGCUCGGUCACCAACACCAUGGUCCUUCCCCUCGACCUUAUCAGCCCCACCAUCCUUGACGUCUCAGCUAUCCUUGGGACCUCUCUGUUGAUGCCGCCCUCUCUGGACAUCUGUCUAUCCUUGACCUCAAAGCUCUAUUCGAUAAGUGGGCUAUCAAAGUGUUGAGUAAAGAGGGUCAAGAACCCUCAAGAGAAGAGAUUGAAAAACUACACAAAAAUUUCUUCAACUAUAACACUCUCAUCUUCCAUUUCGCUGGUCGAGGAGAAGAAAACAUUCCAAAGGGGGAGCACGAAACCUUCCUAUUUUAUUGGUACAACAAAUAAACCUUCCUAUUUUAUUGGUACAACAAAUUUAUUUGUUGUACCAAAUCAAAUAAGUGCUUGGUCGAGAAUAUGCCGAUUGCCGAAGCCCUGGCAAGUGGUCACACCUUGGCCCUCAAUUCAGCCAUCCUUGCCAACCUCCUGCGCUACUUGGCCGAGACGACCAUCAACAAAAUCGAUCCGCACUAGAACGGUCAUUUCUGGGUUUUCCAACUUUGGCUGCAGGUCUAUUUUGCCACUUUUCGACCAGAAAUCCCCAGCUUCAAACCCACUGAGAUGCUUGGACCUCAGUUAGCAUCUUGAUCGGUGCCUCCUCACCAGGCUAAAGAAGUUUUCAAAUACUUCUUCGACCUAGAAGACCUUUCUGACGACAAGUUUCUAAUAUGUCGUCGUCAAGAGUAUCCCCCUUCCAUCAUCAGCAUGGAGUGAAGCUGAAGAUGCUGAUCUUCGUCAAAAUUGGGGGUCGCUCGUGUUAACAUGCAACCUUCCCUUCGGCUACGAUGCUCAUCGAGUGAGCUGGGAAGUAUACCAUCCUCAUUUCACUGCUCAGCAACUCGGUUACCUCCAAGGUUGCUCGGUGCCUCUACUCACUUCCCACUCCCUCUUAAGCUGAUGACGCUUCUCUGGUUCUUCUUCGAAGAGAGAAUGUAGGGAGAUAAUUGGUGAAUUUCAAGAAAGGUGCUGAAAAUUCCAUCUCCGGCCUAAUGUGCCUGAAAUCCUUAGCACCGCCACCUUCGUCGACUAGUGGGAAACAUACACUUAAGACUUCUUUCACACAUUGGUCGAGAACGCCAUCAAAAAAGCUUUCAGCGACCGUCCAAAGAAAACCCUUGCCCCAAAAUCCAAAGAGAAGGCUUAAGGUAUUUGUUUUCGUCUAUCGUUCUCUUUUGGUAACUUGUUCAAACUCCCUUCUAAUUUGAUUUUAGCUUUUUUCAGGUAUUCAUACUGAUGUGGCAGCCGCGGUUGUGACCAAGAAAAAACUUGCUCCUUCACUAAGGAAAACCGCAACCGCCUCGCUGAUCUUGCCAAGCAAACGGUCUCACCCAGAGGUCGAAACAACUGGCGAUGCUCCCUUUCCUAAAAGACGUGUCAAGAAAUUAGCGAGAAAAGGGGAGUGGGAGAUUCAUGUCAUCUCCAGCCAGAUUAUAGGAGCCACCGCUGAGCCUUCUCAAGCUCCUGUUGUUCGAGCCUCUACGGAUAUGCAAACGAAACCGCCCACCAAUCAAGCUCCUAAGGUUCGUCCCAUUGAACAAUUCGUGGUCGAGUUGACCAUUGAUAUGGUGGUUGAGGAACCCGUAGCUCCAGGGUCGACCGUUGCUCCUAUCUCGAAGGAAACGGCCACUUUGGCCGAGAAAACUCUUUCCUGAAUUUGAAAACAAAAACAACGGUCGUUCUGGAAGAAGAGGUAUGAUUAUGUUGCUGGUAACUUUUCCUUCCACUAGAUUCUGAAUCCUAAACAAUUCUUAUUUCAGGACGACGAUAGUGAAGAACUCUUACUAACGAGUCACCCUCAGCCAACUAGACUUUCUACCAACAAUCCUCCACUUGUGCUUGAGGCGACUGACCAGGUUAAUCCUCCUGCAUCUGACCGUGGAAAAAGGCCUCUUGUUGAGUCUGAAGUGACGGCGGAGACACCAAUCCAUCCACAAGAUCAAGACCUUGGCAUUCCUCCUCAAGAAGUUACUUCGGCUUUUGUAAGGUUAGAUCAUUUUCUUUCAUUGCGUUUACUAUCACAAGUCUGAACCGAGAAUAAUACUAAAUGUCAGGUGCUCAAUUAUUCAUUUCACCAAAAAUUCUAUGCGUCGAAGGGUGUUAUCUAUAUUUCCUAGCCACCUCAGUGGCCAUCGAACGUAGACAACCUUCAUCAGCUGCGUGAAUUGAGAAGUAGUCUUAAAUAUUGGGCUCGGCCAUUAAAGUCUUUAGGUUCGAGCAAUGAACCAGAGGACAUGGCUGAAGUCUCCUCUCGGCAGGUCUAAAGCAAAUUCUCUUCGUUAUAUUCUUUACGAUUUUCCUUUCGCCUAAAACCUUUUCAUGUGCAGCCUUCAUGGGAAGCCAGCUGGAUGUUCUUCUUUCGAAUACUGCUAGAGUAGCCAGAUCAUCUACUACGUCGGUCGAGCCUUUGGAAACCGAGGUCGAAUUCAAUGCCCUCGCCAAGUUGCAAGAACUCCUAUCUCUCUUUGCUUCACAAAUCCUUCAAUGUAAAGGCCUCGACUCUGUAGAAGAAUGCCUGAACGCUCUUGCAGCCGGUGGUCUGCUGAGUACCGAGAAUGUCAUCCACUUAUCCGAUAUCCUGGAGUGAACUCAAUAGUUCUUUAUAACUUUUGAACGGGUUCUCCAGGCUGAAGAUGACCUAAAAGCUACCAAAACUGCUCACGAAGCCAGUCGGCCAGAGGUUGAGGCCAUUAAAUCAAAGAAAAUGUAGUUGGCCAACUUUGAUCAUCAAAUCGCCGAGCUGCAACAUCAAAUUGCCUGCCGAGCUGCAACGUCAAAUUGCCGAACUUCAACUGCAAAGAUUGGCCGUCGCUUUGGACCUCGAAAAGAAUUUUGAAGCAAAUAAAGCUCGGCUAACAGACUUCGCGGCUGGCGCAAGGCAGAUCCAGCAACUUCAGCUUAAUAGAAGGACGAGGCAAGCCGAAGUCACCAUGGGUGAAGUAAGGUGGUUGGAACUGAAGGCCGCUCUUGAAGCCUUCCUUCAUUCGACCCCUUAGGAUUUUGGUCUUUUGAAAUCUUUUGUAACUUCACUUGUACAUCUCUUUGCACAAUUAAUGAAAUGAUCUUUUAUUCUCGCAUCUCCUAAGUGACUGGAUAGUAUUUCUUUAAAAAUCUCCUGUUGAUUGGCAACUUGUGAAUUAAACCAGUUCAAUCAUUGAGGUGGUAUGCCCCCUUGCUGAGAACUUUGUGAACGAUGAACGGUCCUUCCCAAUUGGACGACCAUUUGCCGAACUUGGGGUUUUUAAUUCCUACGGGCAGCACAGUUUGCCAAACGAACUUGCCCUUUCUGAAUGUUUUUUGUUUGACUCGCUAAUUAUAAGCUCGCUCAGGAAUCUUUUUCUGUGCCACCAAUAAAUUAUAAGCGUCAAGCCGAUUUUCUUCCAAAUCUUCUAACUCUUGUCUCAUAGCCUGAUUGUACUUGGCACUGAAUAAACUACUUUGUUCAAUCACUCGCAACGAGUUUAUACUUAGCCCGACUAGUAACAUAGCAUCGUAGCCAUAGGUUAACACAUAUGGAGUCGUUCCAGUGGCCAAUCAGGGUGAAGUUUAACAAGCCCAUAAUGCUUCGUUUAAUUUUAAAUGCCACAUACCAGGCCUUUCUUUUACCAUUUUCUCAAGAAUACCGAUUAAAACCUUAUUACUUGCUUCAGCCUGUCCGUUCACCUGUGGGUAAUACGGUGUAGACUGCUCGAGUCAAAUUUUUAGAUUUGCCGCAUACUCCUGAAACCUGCUGGAUGUAAAGAUCGUACAAUUAUCUGUUAUGAUUGUUUAUGGUACAUUGAAUCUAGUCACGAUAUUUUUUUCUACAAAAUUACAGACUUCUUUAAACGUUAACUCGGCAUAUGACUUCGCUUCGACCCAUUUGGUGAAGUAAUUCGUUGCAACAAGUACCCAUGCAUGCUUUGCUGACCCGGAAGAUGGUGCGAUUUUUCCGAUUACAUCCAUUGCCCAUCCCCUGAACGGCCAUGGUUUGGUGACCGAAUGGAGUGAUUCGGCCAGAACUCUUUAUAUAGGCCCAUGAAUUUGACACUGUACACAUCCCUUUGCGUACUCGAUACAAUCCUUCAGAAUGCUCAGCCAAAAAUAGUCGUGUCGCCAAAGCAACCAACGCAUCUUUCGUCCAGAUUGAUGAGCCCCGCAAAUACCUUUAUGGACCUUUGUGAUUGCUUGAGCAGCCUCCUGAGGGCCAAGGCAUAACAAUAAUAGAUCGUCCUCGCCCUUUUGAUACAAUUCAUUUUGGUACAUUACAUAAUCCAUGGCGUGAACCCUUGUGUUACGGUAGUGUUUGCCAUUGGGAUUGUCAAGAUACUGUAUAAUUGACUUUCUCCAGUCAUUUGGCAUCGCCUCAACUGCGCAAACCUUUAUAGGGUCAUUCCAUUCUAACAACGAUGGUAAUGACAUGCCUCAUGUACAGAUCACGUAAUCACGUUGGAGAAUUUGUUGAUUAACCAAGGCCGGGUAUGCUCGUUGUGUCAUAGGUAUUUCUCGGCCUAGUUUACCUCUCAGGAGUUAUGCUCCGGAGGCUAUUUGAGCUAAUUCAUUAGCGUUAGUGUUUCGAACCCGUGAAAUAUGUUUAAAGAUAACGACGUCGAAAGACUCGGCCAAAUAGUUGGCAACCAUGUGAUAUGGCGCCAGAGUACAACUCAUGCAACGGAAAGUCUCAUUAAGUUGGUUAAUCACAAGUUCGGAAUCACCGAGAAUAAGGACUUGAGUUGCCUACAAGUCAUGAAGGACACCAAGGCCGAUGAUGAAGGCUUCGUAUUCGGCCUGAUUAUUCGUGCACUCGAACUCGAGCUUGAGAGAAAAAUAUCAGCGGCUGUGAUUGGGGGAUUGAAUAAUGAUUCCAACGCCAGCCGAGACAGAAGUACAAGAGCCAUCAAAGUACAGUGUCCAGUAAUUGUCAUGUGUUUGCACCAUGCCGAUGUCCACGUCAUGGCCCCCAAAAUCAUAUGGUGAGGGAUGUUGGGCCAAGAAAUCGACCAACGCUUUGCCUUUGACAGCUUUUUGGGGCACAUACUGCAAACUGAAUUUAGACAACGCCAUUGUCCAUUUUCCAAUUCGGCCUUUUACUAUUGGCCAAGUGAGCAUGUAACGAAUGACAUCGGUCUGGGCGAUGACCAGAGUGAUCGAUGAGAGCAUGUAAUGCCUGAGUUUGGAUGCGGCAAAAAAUAAGGCUAGGAAAAGCUUCUCGAUGAUGGAAUAAUUAAUCUCUGGUGGGUUGAGAUUUUGGCUAAGAUAAAAAAUGGCCUAUUCGCGCCCAACAUCAUUGUCUUGUGCAAGAAGGCAUCCGAUGGACUCCUCGGUCGCAAAGAUGUAUAAAUUGAGAGGUUUGCCAUGUCACAGUAGGACGGGUGGAGUUGUUAGAGAGACCUUAAUUUGUGUGAAUGCCUCUUAAUAUUCAACACGCCAUUCGAAGGUGUCAGUAUCCUUUAGUUUCAAGAGCGUGGAAAAUGCUUUCAUUUUUCCCGCCGAAUUGGCGAUGAAUCGGCAGAGAAAGUUAAUCUUGCCGAGCAAUGACUGUAGUUGUUUCUUGGUAGUCGGGGGUGAAGUGUUGAUGAUUGCUCAUCCCUUAUUCUUGUCCACCUCAAUGCCACGAUGAUGUACAAGGAAUCCUAAAAAAUUGUCGGCAAAUACACUGAAAGCACAUUUGGCCAGAUUCAUUUUAAGGUUGUGUUAGCUCAUACGCAUGAAAGCCUAUCGAAGAUCGUCUAGAUGUGUCUGCCGACGCUCUGAUUUGAUUACAACAUCGUCAAUGUAGACUUCGACGAUGGUACCAAUCAAAUCAUGGAAUAUAGUAUUCAUGGCUCGUUGAUAUGUGGCACCGACAUUCUUGAGGCCGAAUGGCAUGACGACCCAUUCGUAUGUGCUGAGUGCCCCCGAAUAAUGAAAAGCGGCCUUAUGGACAUCAGCCUCGGCGAUGAAAAUCUGGUUAUAACCAGCAUGUCCAUCCAUAAAGGAUAAGAUCUCAUGGGAGUUGCCAUAUUCAAAUUGUGGAAAUAAAAACAGAUACGUAGGGCAUCACUUUUCUUUAAUAUUGGGACGAUGUUCGCCAACAACUCGACGUAUCGAGCUGUCCAAAUAAACCCAGCUUUUAAAAGUCAAACGAGUUCAUCCUUUAUGUUGCGUUGUACUUCGGUGGAGAAUCAUCGAGGUGGUUGGCGGAAUGGUUUGCACCCAAGUUUGAUGCGUAAUUCAUGUUCAACCAAUGUUUGAUACAAUCUAGGCAUCUCAUGGUCACUCCAAGCAAAACAAUCCUUAAAUUCUUUAAGCAAAUUACAAAGCUCAGUUUUUACAUGUUGGGGUAACGAAGUACUAAUGAACAAGGGUCGUGGGUCUUCGGUCGUUCAAACAUUUCUUUCCUCUAAAGGGUCAUUAACUUGAGGUUGAGUAUCCUCGAGCUCGGCUGGCGCAUCCUAAACUUUGUUUAGUGAAAACACUGGGCCAUUGUCUCAUUUGGCAAAAAAAUUGACUAAGAUGACGCCCCGAAUUUUGUUGUUUCGAGAUAACAUACCAAUGGGCCAGCAGUCGUUCCAUGGUAGAUGAAAUUGUGGCCCAUCAUCUAUCCUGGUGGUCGUCAGACAUCAGUAUCUGCGACCAAAUAGGCCAAUCCAAGCCUCAUCGAAUCCUGAUGGACAGUCUUGGCGCCUACCUCGAUUACUUUCUGUACCGAAAUUCGAGUCGAUCUUCCUUCCUUGUUCAAACCUUGUAGGGUAAUAUAGCCGACAUGAUAAUCAUAAUACUGUGCUUGAAUCAUAUUGGUUUCAAAAGGUUGAUUAUCGGUCGGAUGCACCACAAAGGAUUUACCGUCCCAAAAAAUGAAAACUUGAUAUAGUGAAGAGGGAAUGCAGUUUGUUUGAUAGAUCCAAUUCUGACCGAGCAAUGCAUUGUAUUCGGUCUUGGAUUCGACGAUAAAGAAUACGGUCAUGUGAUUACGACCUGUACGCUUACCUCCAAAGGAAGAACUCAUUAGUCUAAGACUUGUCACUGAUGAAGCUACUCAUGGUUAUUCCUGAUGGGAUGAGUUCAUCAUUGGACUAUCGUAGUACCUUCAUGAUGGAUAUUGGCAUGAUAUUGACCGUAGCCCCACAAUCGAUAAAGAUUUUGAAAUUGGAUAACCUUCGAUAUGAGCGGUAACAUACAACGACUUCAAAUGUUGAAGAUAAACCGAAGAAGAACAUGGAAAUAGUAUGGCCAAAGCUACUUUAAGUUUGUUGGCUUUAUCGCUUACUCAUCUUCUUCGGUAGUGAUGAAAUCAACUUGUGUUGCUUUCUCGGCAACCACAUCCCUAUCCAAGGAAUUUGGUUGGGGUGUAGUUGGUUGAAAUUCAGCAGAUAGGACAUGGACCAUACUGAAGGGCCCAUCGGGUCUUGGUCAUCGUCUACUAGGUUAUCGAGUAUAGUAUCAUGCUUUGGAGCUUCCUCGACCUGAUCAUCUCUCACCUCAUCAGGUACCUACUCUUGUGAUGUGUCAACUGAACCUAUUUCAUUCUGACUGUCACCUUUGAGCUCGGUUGUUGCUGGGGCUUGGCUCUGUCCUUGUAGUGCUUUAUGGGCUUAUUCUUCAUAGGCGAUUCGGGUAUCCCUUGUGUCUAGGUAGGCAUCCAAAUGCGCCACACGAUCAUUCUCAUCGGCCGUAAUGCUGAAAAGAGAUACGGCUGAGAAGACUUCAAAAUGAUGUCGUAAGUACUGAAGGUCUUCGAAAAAGAAAGGGAGCUCAGCAGUCUAUAUUCAUGUACAGGUCAACCUCGAAGCCGAAAACCUGAGCUUCACGUAUGUGUUGGAACCUAGCCUUCAUUGUUGGGUCAGUAGUUUUCUGAAUAAUCUGUUCAGCAUCAGGGUAAGUGAGUGCCAGGUUGAGGGCUUCUUGUGACGCCUUGGGUAGGCCGUACAAGUCAUUGGUAGAAUGUGUCUUGUGAAACUCUCGCAUGUACUCCAAGGAUUCUCCGAGGAAUGGAGGAUAUAAAUUCUAUUAGACUCUUAUUAACGGCUCUUACUUGGGUAGUGGAGGAAGCUUGCUUUCAACUUUUUGUUUGAAAUGCUCAAAACGAGCUUUCAUCUCCCCGGGCUAAAGGAGGAGUUUGAUGCGCUUCUCAGAUUCUUCAAUGGUGGUUUCAAACUCGCAAUCAAUUACCUUUUUCCCUUGAAGUAAUUCGGCCAUGAUUGUUGGGGUCUGUUGAUCAUUUUCGCUUCCUGCUGCUUCAUUCGGCUACCAUUUGGUAGCCGAAGUGGCUUAUGCUGCCUGCCGUCGAGCCAUGCAGUCUAUCUGCUGGCGUCGACGUUUCUGAGAUUUGGAUAAUGCAGUAUACACGCUAGUAGGAGAAUUGUAACUAUACCAACAUUGGUCGUGUGGCUCAGAUGGCUUGAAGGUUUUAUGAUUCGUCGAUGAACUCGAGCUGCUGGAGUUACAUGAGUAAUAAUCCUCAUUAUAAAAUGGCGCAUCAAAAUCAAGACACCGUCUAGCUAAAGGAGGGCCGUCCAUUCGUGUUUGAGGGCCGAGCCUAUCAAACACCUUCUGGCGCUGGCCUUCGCCAAGUUCCUUUGGAGGUGUUGCCACGACCUUGGAUGGUUGUCAUGGUGUCGGAGCCCGAGGUAGUUUCUCCUUUGGCUCGGUUAGGACGACGCAUGCUUUACAAUGGCUACAUGAAACCAUCGGUCCCUCAGCUUCCUCUACACUGGUGUCUGACAUGGAUUCAACUAUGGCCGGUCCUGAAAACUUUGUAGGUGGCUCGUUUGAAAAUAGAUCAAUCUUGAGUCGCGGCCGAGAGUUCUGUUUGAGACGUGUUGUAUUGGAACAAACUCGACCUUCCUUUUCCUUUUGUUUUUGGGUAAAUGAGCAUCUUCCAUGCCAACUGUCACUGAAGGAAAAUGAUCAACAUCGAUAGUCAUCUUUUUCUCAGGAAAUUUUAGCUUGCCUUUAUCAAUCCAACUUUGAAUAGCGUGACGAAACGCAUCGGCCUUGGUGAUAUCAAAAGUGUAAACUUUUGAUUUUUUAACCGUCUCUUCAGAAACCGAGCGGGUUUUAACAUCCUUGGAGUUAAUGUGAGCCAAUGCCUUGCAAACAUACAGUUUAUCUAACACUAUUUCGACAGCGUCCACACUGACAUAUUGGGGAUCCUCGCCUUUGGUCGAUGCGUAGCUCACUGUAAGAUUUUUGUAAAUCGUUCCCCAGGAUAGGGACUUCGAGAGCUUUUCCUCUCGGAGCAAAUAAUCAUAUUGCUCGAUGUGUUGGGCUAGUUCGUACAUAUCUGGGAAGUUUGCCCCUAGGAAUGUCUUUUUGUAUUCCACGUCUAGCCCAUUCAAAGCAAGUCUAACAAAUUCGACUUCGGGUAGAGGGACUCGGCACCAAUUCUUGGCCAAUUUAAACCUUGUAAGGUAAUCCAUUGGUGACUCAUUAGACGAUUGAGCCAUCCUAGCCAAUGAAAAAACUGACAUUUCCAUCCCUGGUCGAUAGAACUGCUUGUGGAAUUUCUUGACUAGUUCCUCCCAACUUUGGAUGGAAUUAGGUGAGAGAUUAAUGUACCAUGUGAAUGCCGAGCCCGUCAAUGAAAAGUUGAAUAGUCACAGUUUAUGGAAGUCACUAUUGACAUCUCCACAUUGCGCAGUGAACCAGGCCACAUGUUCUAACGAGGACAAAGAUGAUUCUCCAGCAAAAAGGCUGAAAUCUGGGAUCGCCUUUAGGAUAUUCGAACUUUUCUACAUAAGCUGGGUAUGGAUGGAUGAAUUUCAGGAACUUCAGCCUCUUUUUCAAGGCCUAAUCGAUCAUUCUUUGGACCUUGAUCAUAUCGACUGACGUUGCUUCCACUCUCUGAUCGAAUCUGUUUGAUCUACUGCUUGAUCCUUCUCUUUUUUUCCAAGUCAAUCGUUUUGAGCCGAGUAGAUCAUGUUUCGGCCUGUAGUGGAUUACUUUUGAGUGGAAGCUAGUGGGACUGAUUAGCAGGUCCCCCAUUCGAUGACUCUACUAAUUAAUAAUUCAAGUAAUUUGGUGUGUGUAUCACCAUUACUUCGUAUUACCUCGAGCAAACUGUUCAUUUUUUGGAUAACUGUCUGUUCAACCUGCUGAGAUUGCUCAUCAAGUCAUCUUCGAAGAAACGAUCUAGUUGGAGGGUCAGAGCCUUCACCACAAUCUUCGUCACAAUCAUCCAUUAUCCCUUCAAUGAAAACACUUGCGGUUCUGUUAGGGACUUCUAUGUUCCGAGGCUGGGUACCGAGACAACCUUCAUUUUCUUGGUGUGUCACACUUGCAACCUCAGGUGUCAUAAUAACAAGAGGAUUUCGCGCAUGUGAUGUUUCUUGUCCAGGACCCUAAACUGGCAAAUCAGUCGUUGACUUUCCUAUGAUUGUUUUAUUUUUACUGAUUGUGUUUCGACGGUCAUGAACUUCAUAGUUUUAGCACUUGGUCCCACUGGGCAUGCCAAAAUGUUGACCCUAAAAACUAUCAAGCCUAUGCGGCGCGCAAGCCAAGUAAUUAAAAAGCUAACUACGUCCUUCAGUUGUGUGCAAGGUGUGCCAACUCAUCGGCCGGGGAGUAAAAGUGUUGAUGUCGCGUUGGGCGAUCUGCUAACUUCUUGAUCUUGCAACUGCGGACAAGGAAGGAACACGUCUCGACCUUCGGUUUCUAGAGCCUGAAGAUAAGGCUGCUAUUUCUGUGAAGCUUAAAACUCGUCGGCGUCGGAUUCGGUCAUAGUGAUUAUAUUCGUAAGAGUAUAAGCACGCCGAAUCAACACCAGACUAUAUGGGCACAAGUACUCAUAACAGAUGUACGUCUUGAUUGUGAAUGUGGUUCGGUCGUCAGAAUGCCGAACUCUAAAUCCUACUUGUGAGUAUCCAAUCAUAAAAUAACUCGGUGUUAGACGUGUCGAGCCUAGUAAUUCGUAACACCUCACUUCGCCAAGAAGGCUAAUGAAAUGACCUCUGCCAAUAAGGAUUCGAAAAACCCUCUCGACCAAGAGUUGGAUAGAUAAUCAGUUGGCCUCGACACAGUGUUGUUUAUCCAAACUGAAGGUGUUCGCUGAUUACCUCCACAGUGUUGUUUAUCCAAACUGAAGAUGUGUCAGCAAAAAAGAAAAUAAAAAUCUCAAGAUGUUUGAGAGGUUUCGCAUAAAGCGAGGGUUUGCGCAUGGCAGUUUGUGUGUUCAGUUAGAGGGGUUUUGAAUGAUGCAUCCUCUUCUUAUUUAUAGCAACCACUCUCGUCAUGGCCGAAACAAAACUUUACUAGGAUUAGGAUUCUUUAUCCUAAUCUCAUCAAGACUCGACCAAUCCUACCUCCAAUAGGACUUUGAACCAAACUCUUUAUCCAGCUACAUUCACUUCUCAAAUCUUAGCAUCCUCAUCCUAUUGAGACUCCUUAUUAUACUAGGAUUCGACCAACCUCAUCAAUCCGUCUUAGACUAGGGUUCGGCCGAUCUUAACCAAGCGGCCCAUAACAACUGGAAUUUGCAAUGGUUCUAGAAUUAUACUGCCGGGCCAAGACCAACUCCUUACUUGGCCCACACCAAUAUUUUGGGCCCAAACAGUUUGACACAAACAAACAAAAACAAAACAAAACAUUAAAAUAACAUUAUCUGCAUCGGUAAAGCAAAUUCUAUGAAAGUUGUAAACGCAAAAUUUCUGUGACAAAUCAAAUAAGAAUGUGUGUACAAAGUAAAUGAUUGUAUUAAUGUAAAAUUAGGGUUUUAAUUUAUGUUACAGCUUUGAAUCCUCUUAUUUGAUCUCCUAGGUGAAAAGUGUGUGUUUUGUUGAUUUGAGGGUUGUGGUGACUUGAUCUCGAAUUAAUGAACACCUUAAGGUUUUGGCUUGUGGCGAUGGAGGAAAUAGCAUGUGUAGGGGUGCUUGGUGGUUCUUCACAAGUGUGACGAAGCAUGCAAAGAGCUUUCUGAAUCUUCUAAGUUGUGAAAGCGUUUGGGGGGUUUGGUGGGUAUGAGGAUGAAUUUCUCUGAGAGGGUCUUUCUUUUGUCUUGGAGCCACGUAUUUAUAGGCUCUACAAGUCUUGAUUGAGGGUUGAUUUGGUCUUGAUUAAUUGACGAAAGAAACAAGACUUGAUUUGAGGCUUGGUUUGUGAUUUGAAUUCAUAAAAAUCUUUGAUUUAAUCAAAUAAAAUCAAUAACCUUUCAUCCUUAUUUUGGCAUUUUAAAUCAAUUAAAUUGAUUGAUUUAAAUUAAAGAAUUAAUUAAAGAAUUAUAAAGAUAAUUCCUUAAUUGCUUACUGCCAAGUGUCGACACGUGCCCCUCUUGAUAACUCGUCACAUGCCAUAUGUACGAUUUUUGCAACACAGUGUCUAGAUCUGUAUUGACCUAUUUCAAUAUAUAAAAUAUGCGAAAAGGGUUCAGUUGAAGUUAGUGUCAGCUGUGGUGGCAUAUUUUGUAAUUUUUGUUUAUUUUAAAUGCAUUUAAAUAUCACAAUACAUCAUUAACUUAUUUAUAAUUAACAUAAAUAUUGUUAAUAUUGCAACUUUUUAUUGAUUUUAUACAAAAUCACUCAUUGAUUAAUUUGUUCUCAAACAUUUGUUAAUAUUGUAACUUUUUAUUGAUUUUAUAAAAAAUUACCCAUUAAUUAAUUAGUUCCCCUGUACGAUGAAUAGAUGAAUAAAAUCCGUAUAUAAAUCCCUAUAUUUAAUUUAAACAAUUCAGAUUCUACGCAUAUUAAAAUUAUCCAUAUAUAUAGACAGUGGAUUGCUCUGUUGAUUGUUAAACUCUCCUCUUGCCCUUAGCACUAUAGAUUAAUGUACAAUGGAAAAAGCAACGAAAUCAUCAACAAGAAAAUAGGCAAAUUCAAAUACGGAGUGCAGAAUUGGUGCUUUGUUUUUUUAUAUUUUAUUUUAGUAUUUUCUACAAUGAUAUUUUCCUAAUUAUCUACACAAUAAAAUUUCCAUCAGUAAAUAGUCAACAUCCUUUGGUUGUAAUAUUCUUUCUUUAUGCCAUUUAAUUUUACGGUCUAAUGGCAUUUCUCUUUAUUUGUAAGUGAGACAUUUUAUGUUCGAUUCUCGCUAAAAGCGAAUUUCAACCACAUUAUUACUAGCUCAUUGUGAGACUAAGCCCACCUCUCUCCCCUUUAGUGUAGAUAAUGUCGAUAUAUUGUUAAAAAAAAGGGAUAAAUUACAUAAAACUACCUCAACUAUUGGGUCAGUCACAGUUUCAUACCCCAUCUUUAAAAAAUUUCAAUGUCAUACCUCAUCUAUGAAUUUUUUACAAUUUUAUACCUUCUGUCAGUUUUCUGUCAAUUAUUCCGUUAAAUAGUGACGUGGCUUGAGACGAGGCCCACUCUCUAUUAAAAAAUUAAUAAAAUAUUAAAAAACUAAAAAACAAAGAGAACUGCUAGACCCACCCUGUUGUCUUAUUUUCCCACACACAUUAUAUUUACACCCACUAUAAAAAGUUAAAAAAUUAAAAUGUUAUUUUCUCAUCCAUUAUUAUUCCUAAAAUAACCCUUAAUAUAUAUAUAUAUAUAUAUAUAUAUAUAUAUAUAUAUGUGUGUGUGUGUGUGUGUGUGUGUGUGUGUGUGGGUGUGUGUGUAUAAAAUUAGAAGAAAAGGGAUGAACAGCCACACUGGUGUUCCAAACGGAUGAACAACCGCAGGGAUCCAAAAGAAGAAAAGGGCAAACAAAAGAACUCCCAACACAACACCUCCAACAAAUGCCAGGAAUUCUCAUAGGAAAACGUGAAACAAAUUGCAGGAAUUCUCUUAGGAAAAUGUGAAACAAAUUGCACCCUAACCUAAUGCAAAUUCAAAUAAAAAGUCACAAAGCUACGCUUCAAUUAUACGAUGUCGACAAAUCAAGAUUACCCACAUAAAAUUAUCUUUUACCUAUUCGACAAAAACAUAAUCAUCUACUUUUUCCAUAGAAACAUCAUCUUCUAAGUUCAUUCUUUUUGCUUUAUCUGAAUGGAAGGAGAUGGGAAUGAUAAGUUAGGGUUUAAGGGAGACAAAUCGUCUAAACAUAGCGUGAGAGUUAUCACGCCCAAACUUUUCUUUUUUAUUUUUUAUAAAAAAAGUAAUGCAAAAAGGGUAACUAAGGUCCUUAUUAGUCAUUUUACAAAUUGAUAAAUUUGUAAUUAAAAAAUUCAUAAAAAGGUGGUGUGAACACGGAAAAUUCCUGAAACGAAAGAGACAAGAACAACGUGCACAAACAAAUAUUUGUAUUUAGAUGAUUUUGGGUUACAAUCUCUCUUAAAUUUGAUCCUCUGAUUCAAUCUCCGUAAGGUGUGUAUUUGUGGAUGUGCGAUUGAUCCAAAGGGCCGUUAGGCUUGAUCUAAGGAUGAACGUUCUUCAAGGGCCGUGGACUUGAUCUUGAAGGUGGAUUUGAGAGGAUCUUCAAAUGGGCUUUUGGGCUUGAUCUUUGAAGAAUAGUGAUGAACGGAUCUCCAAGGGCUUUUGGGCUUGAUCUUGAAGAACGGUUGGACGUGUGGAUUUGUUGAUGUUGUUGAUCCAAGGGGCCGUCGGGGCUUGAUCUUAGAAGAACGAUGAACGAAGAACGAAGAACACUUUCUUCAAGGGCCGUCGGGGCUUGAUCUUAAAGGUGGAUGAUUGUUGAUCCAAAGGGCCGUCGGGGCUUGAUCUUGGAAGAAUGAUGAACGAAGAACGAAGAAGGCUUUCUUGAUUCUUCGGGAACCUGGAUGCUUGAGAGCUUCGGAGUUUCAGAGCUUCAGAGCUUCAAGGUAAUAUGAAUUGGUCCCCUUGAAUGAAUGAAAUGGGCUUGUAUUUAUUGAAUUUUCCAAGGCCUAAUUUUGAAUAUAAUAUCCCAGAUGAAAUAAGUCGUUUCUGCCAGGUGUUGACACGUGUCCUAUUUGAUGACUUUUCCAACUCAUUUCAAUUUUCGUUGAGUCACACACUACGUGUAAAAUUUAUGUAAUACAUGAGCGUUGACACUUUGAUUUAUCGGUCAACAUUUAUUUACCGAAAUUUCGAUGUCUACAAAUGCCCCCACUUCAAGGCACGUCGUAUACAUGUGCCUGUUACGUGUAGGAGAUGCAUUUUGAAGUCCCUUACUGUAGACGUCGAUCCAAGGGCCGUCGAGGCUUGAUCUUGAAUUGGGCUGGAAAUUUCUUCAAGGGCCGUCGAGGCUUGAUCUUGAACGUUGAAAUUUGGACCACAAAGAGCUUCAUGUGGUAGAUGAUCUUUGGCUUUGGUAGUUGAUGAAUCGGCACGUUUCUGUUCUUUUGCGCUUUGUUGACUUUCCACAGCUUUGAUCUUGAACUGGGUUGGAGGAUUUUCUGGAUUCCUCCAAUUGUUGAUUUUCCACAGCUUAUUCUUGAACUAGGUUUUGAUUCAAGAGUGGUAGACACUUGAUCUUGAAUCGGACUUGUGAUUUCUUCCAGGGCCGUCGAGGCUUGAUUUUGAAUUUGGCUGGAAGCUUCUUCAAGGGUCGUUGAGGCUUGAUUCUUGAAGGUUGACUCGACCAUAUGGCAAGCAGGCACGAGGUAAAGGUGACAACUUGUUUCUUUGUUCAAUCUUUCUAAUUCACACCUGAGCAGUUUGGUCAACGGUAUGAUCUUCAAGAUUGAUGGGCUUUUCUUCCAGUUGGUGAAUUGAUCUUUAAGGGUUCGAUUCGAGGGUGGUGAAUCGGCACGUGCAACCCACAACGCCUAGUAAGUCGACCCAAGAAUUUGAGGGUCAAAACGAGUCCACCGUCCAGAGUGAUUGCACCCUGAUGAUAUGAGAUACUUUUGAUUUUAAUGAAGUAGCGAAUGAAUCAGCACGUGCUUUGUUGUGCUUGUCUCCACAUGCUUCAAUGUAUUAUUUUCCCUUGCUUUAUCUGUUCCUCAGGCAGAUGUGGCAUCUUCUCGAGUUCUUCAUCUCAGACUCUUUCUGGUGAGUUGACUGUGCAUGCUGCAUUCUUCUCUGCUUGUUUCUUCAGGCAGAUGUGGCAGCUUCUCGAGUUCUUCAGCUCGGACUCCUUCUGCUGAGCUGACUGUGAAGACUGCAUUCUUCUCUGCUUGUUUCUUCUGCACGUUGUCUCCACAUGCUGCAAGGUAUCAUUUUCACUUGCCUUAUCUAUUCUCCAGGCAGAUGUGGCAGCUUCUUUGGAAGUACAGCAACAGUGGGAGACAAGUACUCGAUAGCAGUGCUAGGUAGGCAAUCAGGGAAGGGCUCCAAGCAGUCGGUUCCUUACCCGAGUUUGAGUGGAGGUUCCGGCAUAUUAUUUUCUUUAUCCUUGUCUUUGUAGGUAAGAACAAGGACAAAGGAAAGGACAGGGAGAACGCAUGAUAUGAGAUACUCUUGCUUUCUACCCUGAUGAUAUGAGAUACUUUUGCUUUGGUGUCAUUUGUUUGCAGAGGUACCCCAAGGAAUAAGAAACACUGAGUGACUUGAGAGGCUUUGUUGGGAAGGCAUUCUCGGAGAUGAAGAAAGGUUCUGUAUGUCUGCCUUGCUAUGAAGGGUGAAGGUGGACAGUUAUAGGAAUUUCUUUAGUACCUGUAGAGGUACUAUUCUUUCACUCGUGUCAGCAACCAAUGCGUGAUUGAACAGUAAAUUUUACGUGCUUUCUCCUUCACCGAAAAUCUUCGACAAAUUGCCCGUGAUUUGCGCAAAGUUGAGUGUGCAUAUGACAGGUGUUGACGAGGUUGAAAAAGACUGGCGCCUCUUCGAUAUCUGGGAUUGGCGCUUCGACAAAUUGCCCGUGAUUUCCGCAAAGCUGAGUUUGCGUGUGACGGGUGCCGACGCGUCUGGAAAAGCAAGAUGCUCCUCCGAUUUCUGAGCUUGCCUCUUCGAUUUUUGAAUUGGCCUAUUCGAAUUCUGAGCUCACCUCUUCGAUCUCUGAAAUCCUGUUGAGUGCUGAUUUUUAUAGAGGCACGCAGUUCGUUUCAAAACACACUUGAAUUUUCGCUUGUAGAAACUCCCUUCUUGCACUUCUAAGAUCUUGAUUUGUCUGACCUCUUCUUUCUUCAACACCUUUGAAAAUGUCUGGACCCUCCGACCGUCGUUUUGAUUUGAACCUUGGUGAAGAGGCAGUCCCACCUUCUCCCGACAACAUAUGGCGCCCAUCCUUCAUAUCCCCUACUGGUCCUUUUACCGUUGGGGAUUCGGUGAUGAAGAAUGAUAUGACCGCUGCGGUGGUGGCCCGGAAUCUUGUCACUCCCAAAGAUAACAGACUGCUUGCCAAACGGUCUGAUGAGUUGGCUGUUAAGGAUUCUCUGGCUCUCAGUGUGCAGUGUGCGGGUUCUGUGUCUAAUAUGGCUCAACGCCUAUUUGCUCGAACCCGUCAAGUUGAAUCAUUGGCGGGCUGAAGUGAUGAGUCUCAAAAAAGAGAUUAGAGGGCUCAAGCAGGAGAAUAAACAGUUGCAUAAGCUCACAUAUAGCUAUGCGACAAACAUGAAGAGGAAGAUUGACCAGAUGCAAGAAUCUGAUGGUCAGAUUUUACUUGAUCAUCAGAGGUUUGUGGGUUUGUUCCAGCAGCAUUUACCUUCGUCUUCUGGGGCUGUACCGACUGCUGAGGCUUCAAACAGUCAACCUCUGGCGCCUUCUCUUCCUGGAGCUCUGCCGAGUUGUGAGGCACCACCUGAUCGUCCUUGAAUAUCCCCUCUUGUAAAUUUGAUUUGAUUUGAUUUUUUUUUUUAAGGUAUGUAUAAUGCGAAUUUAUGUAAAAUUUCCAGAAAAAUAAAUAAAAUGGACUUUUAUUUCUCUUAAUGCUUUUUUUUUUUUUUUUUUUUUUUUUUGCACAUGGUGUCAGAUGCACCAUCCAUUUUUUUAUAUUUUCCUUUCUUUUCCCCUGUUUUAUUUUUUGCACAUGGUGCCAGAGCACCAAAUAUCAAACAAUUUUUUCUUUAAUCAUGGUGCCAGACGCACCAAAGAUCAAACCCUUUAUUUUUAUUUUUAUUUAUUUUUGGCCUUUAAUCAUGGUGCCAGAUGCACCCCUCCUUUUUUCACGUGGUGCCAUCACCACUUUGCUCCACCAUCCCCUUUUUUAAUUUUUUUUUUUUUAAUAUAUAUUUUUUCUGUAUAAAUUUGGGUGGUGGGUAGAGGAAUUUGCAAGGAGCGGAGCUCGAGUUUGAGGAAGAGCUUCUCGGCCGGCUAGUCGUUUGACAGCGGUCUUUGAAGUUGUUGGCAGCUGCGAGGCAAGAGACGGAGGAGGUGGAGGUGAUCUUGACGUCGGAUCCAGCUAGAACCCAGAGCAUAGCCACUGAGCCCAACCACCGAACACAGCCGCUGCACACCCGUUGUACUGCUACUGAGCACAACCAUUGCGCAUCCGUUGCACUGCCACCGAGCAUCGCCACUGAUCAAGCACAGCCACAGAGCACCGCUACUGAGCACAGGCACAUAGCACAGCCCACUCAUCCCUCGGCAGAGAUCCAAAGCAAGAAGAAAAUUCCAAAAACUGAGGAAAGAACCUGUUCCUGUCCCAGUCCCAGCGAUGAUCCUUGUGCCAUGGGACCUGGUCCAGGCCGUAUGGGUUGGAUGGAGAGAAGGCAGGGAGGAGCCUGGUGGAUUUCAGAGUCGAGAUCGAAUUCAGACGGAGAAGGAGAGACUGAGACGACGAGAUCGAAGUCCUAAACGAAGUUCUAAACCCUGACCCAGAACCUGCAUACCGAUGAUGAUGAACCAGAACCUAAUACCCAAAACCAAACAACCAGAACCCACAUCCUGCAGUAGAGACCAAUGUCGAGGAGCAGUCUGGGGACGCCAUCGUCGGGGAGAGGCUGUUUAAGGCACGAAGGGAAGGUAAUUUUGCUACUGUACGAAGGAGACCGCGCGAUCUCCUUGGUGAUAUCCCUCCACCGCUUGCAGACACAGGCACAAGCGACGACGUUUUUACGGUGAGGCCACUUGUCCUCGCUGGCCUCCAUUCUCCGUAUGAUCUCACCGAGCAGCUCCGGGAGCAUAUCCGACCAUGAAGACGACGACGGCGACGAAGAUGAGUCAGCACAGUUCGAGUCACGGACGACUCGGCAGUCGCCCCCACGGGCCUGAUCCUCGUCGCUGAGCUUCAAUUCCCUGAACGAUUUGGAGAAUUUCCGGGAGCGAAAGGCUUUCCGCAGCGACAUGGGUUCAGAUUUGGGGCUUUAGGGUUCCUGAUUCUUUGGAUUGUGUGCAUCUUCCAUCCAGCAGCUGCCAACCCUCCAUGAUGAUACUCACUGAUUGUUUCAUCAACAAGUAUUACAAGAUCUCGUGUUGAACCAGACAUACGGAUGCUCUGAGCUGCAGCAAUGGCUCCACAAACAUACACAUGGGCAGAAUGUAGGAUUGUUGCAUAUGCUUCUCUGUGGGCUCUUUCUGAGUAAAAGCUUUCUUUAGCCGUGAGAGGAGUUUGAGAGUGGAGAAAGCAUGAGAAUGGGCUGUGACCCAUGGCAGAAACUCGUUGACGCAAACACAAAACUUCACUCCAUUUUGAACUGGUGUCUUCGGAUCAAAAAAUGCCCAAUUCAAACCAAAAUGCCUCCAAUCCUGCCAAUGCAAGCCUUUUGUUCCUGAGGAGUUGGCCUGCCCCAGCUCAAGAAAACCAUGCCUUGGUUGCGGUUGCGUCCAAGUCUGAAAUAUUAGUCGAAAUCUGAGGUGGAAUUGAGAAGAGAUGGUGGCGCCACCGUCGCAACUGUUUCGAAGCCGUCGAAGUUGCAGGAGACGGACUGGUGUGGGGGAUGGAGGACGCCAAGGGUGGUCACCUUGAAAACUCACGGCAGCCAUUUCGAAGGUUGCGACGGCUUCGAGUUCAGAAACAUCGACAGAGUUGAAGAGGGAGAGAGAGUGACGCGGCUUGGCCUUUCAGCAGAGGGCUCGGGGCAGCUAGGCUUGUCUGGACCAUUGUUGGCCCAAUAGCAUUGUUGAUGCUGGAGCUUGGUGUUGGGCCGAGACAUAUAUAUAUAUGUUUCCCCUUUUUUUUUUUUUUUUUUUUGUAAUAAAAUUGACUUUCAUCAAUGAGACUUUAAUUUUUUUAUGUUGAUAUGACUGAACUCGAAAUUGAAUGCUCGAGUUGCCUACGUACCCUUCCAAAGAAAGAGAUCAAGUCAAAACGUAGUUCGAAUACAUACAUAUUUUUUUUUGGUAUUUUCUUUUGGUGCCAUUUGCAGUUUCAACUCGUGCAGGCAAGGAGCAUUAGGUUGUUGCAUUUUAUGCUCGUGCAGACCAGGAGCGUUGGUGUUGCCUUUUAUGCUCGUGCAGACCAGGAGCAUUGUGCCAUGCAGUUUAGGUUCGUGCAGGCAAGGAGGGUUGGUUCGUGCAGUUUAGGCUCGUGCGAACAAGGAGCUUUGUGCCAUGCAGUUUAGGCUCGUGCGAACAAGGAGCAUUGGUGAAUUUGUCAAGCAAUUUUGGAGAGGCGUUCCUCACAAUCUUCAUAGCAAGGAGCCUUGACCGAGUGAUUGAAGAAGUCUUCGGGUAAGAAAUCACGCAUCGUGAUGGGGCUGGAUGAACUUCGUGUCAAAGUUUCAUUAUCUCCAACACUUUCACAUUGUUCUAGAGGUGAACAGGAGUUGUUUUGCCCCCUUUCCCAUUAGUGAGCUUGUGGAGAAGACAUAUGCUUCUUGUGCAAUUUCUUCGGCGUGACAUAAGUCCAAACUUCACUCGGCUUGACUGGCAUGUUUUUGGAGCAUGCCCCCAGCGAUUGAGGUGAAAAUUUUGAGUUGACAAAGCCGGAAGUGACGUCUUCUUCCAGGAUUUCGUCUUCUUUGUCUUCUUGGGCCUUCUCUUCAGUGCGGUCCUCUUGGGUUUGUUGCUGUGAAGAUUGGCCGGUGUAGAUGAUGGUGCGCCUCCUUACCUUCAGCGGUCCUUUUGUGUCGACUUCCAAAGUUGCUUGGCGCUUCAUCCUUGAAGGAAUCAAGCUUUGAACAUCAUCUUUUCCUGCUAGACUGUCGAGCUUCUCUCCCUUUGGCGUUGUCUUCCUGUUUCUAGAAGGCUUCUUAGUUUCUUCAAGUCUGUCCAAAGCCGACCGUUGCGGAGGAGAUCUAGCUGUGCCGCUUUGUUUCUUGGGUUUUGAUAACCUUUCAAAGACUGAUCUUUGCGGUGUUGGCGUCUCAAGCCUUUUGAAGAUGGAAGUUUGGUCUCGACCACUGAUGCGAUCAAGUGCUGCAAUUCUAGGUUUUGAAUAAUUCAGCCUUUCGAAGACUGAAGUUCGAGGGGCGGGUUUAGGCUCCUCUUUUGGCCUUAUGGCUUGUGGUCUUGGCUUCCUCGUUUUUUUGUAGGUCACUGAUUUCCAUCCUUUCUUAUCCCCAGUAGAUGCAUCUUGGUUGCUUGCCCCCGGUGAUGGUUGUGUAGGAGGUGCCAUGUGACUUGAACAUUGACGGGAAUGAUCAUGCAUGCUUCGGAGAUGCACAGGAUCGAGUGAUUCAAACACGAUAGUAGUAGUGUGUGCCGCCACCGUGUCUUCGAGGUCAAGCUCGAUUUCCCCUUGUUGUGCUAGCUUCAGGAUGAGAUCUUUCAGUACGAAGCACUUUUCUGUUGGAUGACUGAUGAAGCGGUGAAAUUUACAGUAUCUUGGGUUGUCGGUACGAUUCAUCUCUUCCGGCCGUCUGCACUCAGGCAAACUGAUCACCUUCUUGUCCAACAGGUCAUCCAGCAUGGCAACUACAUCAGAGUCGGGGAACGAUAAAUCUUCUCCUCAAGCUCCUUCAAAGUGCGUCUACGCAUCUCUUGAUCACGAAAAGCUUUGGUUUGAAUCGCCUUGCCUCGUGUGGAGAUUUUGACGGGAGCUGUGUUGACCGUCAUCGCUUCCUUGGUGGGUUUCCAUGCAGCCUUUUCCACCUUUGUCCCAAGAACUUUGUCAUUCUUGUAGUCGGCGAUCGGUUCUUUCUUCUCAUGAUGGGCGAUGCUCAACUCCAUGUCAUGGGCUCGAGUGGCCAAUUCCUCGAAGGUCCGUGGUUUAAUGCCUUGAAGGAUGUAUUGCAAACCCCAUUGCAUGCCUUGGAUGCACAUCUCGAUUGAAGAAAUCUCGGAGAGUCUGUCCUUACAGUCGAGGCUUAGAUUACGCCAUCGGUUGAUGUAGUCCAUGACUGGUUCUUCCUUCCAUUGCUUCGUGCUUGUCAGCUCUAGCAUGCUCACAGUGCGGCAGGUGUUAUAGAAGCGGUUGAGGAAUUCCCGCUCUAAUUGCUCCUAGCUGUUGAUGGACUCGGGCUCUAGGUCCGUGUACCACUCAAAGGCAUUUCCUUUCAGCGAGCGCACAAACUGCUUGGCGAGGUAGUCUCCCUCCGUCCUCGCAUUGUUGCAAGUUUCGACGAAAUGUGCAACGUGCUGCUUUGGGUUUCCUUUUCCAUCAAACUGCAUGAACUUUGGUGGUUGAUAACCCCUUGGCAUCCUUAGGGCAUCAAUCUUAUUGGAAUAGGGCUUCGAGUAGAACAAGGAGGUAUGUGAGCUCCCUUCGUACUGUGCCUUAAUGGUGUUGGUGAUCAUCUCCUGCAGCUGCUGGAUAGAAAGAGAUCCCAUAAGUGCCGCUGCUUGGUCUGGCUCCGGCUUCACAUCGUUUUUCUCCACCUGAGGCUCCUCUUCUUCGUCGUCUCUUCUCUUUAGUGGAUCAUUCUCUGGGUUGGGGUUCUCGUCGUCCUGUGGCUCCAGUCGGUUGACGAGUGCAGCAAUUUGCAAGUCUUUUUCUUCAACAAUCCGUGUUAGCCUUGCGAUCGCUUCAUUCAUUUGAGCCAGUUGUUCUUCAAUGGAGGUAACGCCGAUAGUCAUGACUUGUGCGACCAAUAGACGUGACUUUCCUUUAGACAUCCAGGAUGCUGAUGAAGAACGUCGUUGGCUGCUUUGGAAUGUCAUCUUGUGUGCCCCAACAUCAUGCUUCGGUGCCCCCAGCGAGGUCAGGGUGAUGACAUACUCACACCUUGGAUGCUCCCCUUGCUCUUUUAGCGGCACCAAUUUUGAAGUGGCAUGUUGAGGAGCGGUUGUGGAGCCAAUGGAUUGUCCGUUUGCGGCAGAAGUGCUUAGGAUCCUUUCCUCAGUGGUUGCAAGAACGGCUUGUCCCUUGCUUGAUGCCAUUGACUUUGAGGUGUGCUUGGAUUCCUUGAACGGAGAAAGAGAUGAGAGGUAGAGAUUGUCCCACCGAGCGUGCCAAUUUGUGAACACGGAAAAUUCCUGAAACGAAAGAGACAAGAACAACGUGGACAAACAAAUAUUUGUAUUUAGAUGAUUUUGGGUUACAAUCUCUCUUAAAUUUGAUCCUCUGAUUCAAUCUCCGUAAGGUGUGUAUUUGUGGAUGUGCGAUUGAUCCAAAGGGCCGUUAGGCUUGAUCUAAGGAUGAACGUUCUUCAAGGGUCGUGGACUUGAUCUUGAAGGUGGAUUUGAGCGGAUCUUCAAAGGGGCUUUUGGGCUUGAUCUUUGAAGAACAGUGAUGAACGGAUCUCCAAGGGCUUUUGGGCUUGAUCUUGAAGAACGGUUGGACGUGUGGAUUUGUUGAUGUUGUUGAUCCAAAGGGCCGUCGGGGCUUGAUCUUAGAAGAACGAUGAACGAAGAACGAAGAACACUUUCUUCAAGGGCCGUCGGGGCUUGAUCUUAAAGGUGGAUGAUUGUUGAUCCAAGGGGCUGUCGGGGCUUGAUCUUGGAAAAAUGAUGAACGAAGAACGAAGAAGGCUUUCUUGAUUCUUCGGGAACCUGGAUGCUUGAGAGCUUCGGAGUUUCAGAGCUUCAGAGCUUCAAGGUGUAAUAUGAAUUGGUCCCCUUGAAUGAAUGAAAUGGGCUUGUAUUUAUAGAAUUUUCCAAGGCCUAAUUUUGAAUAUAAUAUCCCAGAUGAAAUAAGUCGUUUAUGCCAGGUGUUGACACGUGUCCUAUUUGAUGACUUUUCCAACUCAUUUCAAUUUUCGUUGAGUCACACGCUACGUGUAAAAUUUAUGUAAUACAUGAGCGUUGACACUUUGAUUUAUCGGUCAACAUUUAUUUACCGAAAUUUCGAUGUCUACAGGUGGGUGAAAAGAUAAGACAUUGGGGUGAGAAUAACAGCACUAAAAAAAAUCAUUUAAUAUUUUUUUUUUGCAUAAGGGACCCACCCCUUAUCCCCUCACCCUUUCUUCCCUCUCCCAUCUUCCCCAAACCCAAACCCAGAUCCCACCCACCCAGCUCCCAUCUUCUCUGCGUCAAUCAUUGCCCGAGUCCCUCAUCCCGCAGUCAUCAUCUCUCACCAUCUUCGCCUUCACCAAAUCAGGUCAACCGACCCAUUCUUUACUUCAAUACCACUUCUUCCCUCUUCCACUACCCCUCCAAACCCUCAAAUCCCUCCCCCUGCCACCAAGAUCCUGAAUUUACUCUUCGGCCACCCCCUCGUCGCCGAAUCCGACGCCAUACCUUACUUGUCUAAAACCCUCUUCGACUUUUCCCCUUCCCUCCAAGACGACAGCACGGCGGUGAUCGCGUAGGUGGCCGAGUACAAGGGUCCAAGGCAAUGAUCGCUCAAGUGGCCAGGUGCGAGGAUGGGUGCAGAUUUGCUGGAUCUCUAAACCGGGUCGAGCUUGAGGAGCAAGGAGAACGUUGUGGGUGCAUAUGCUGCUCAAUUUGUCCAAGUGCGAGGGAAAGAAGACGUUGAGGGAGAUGAAUGAGGAGGGGUUGUGAGUGGUGGAUAUGAUUGCUGAUGUGGCAGAGAAUGGCAGCAAGGAAGAAAGGGUGGGUGGGAUCUGGGUUUGGGUUUGAGGAAGACAGGAGGGGGAAGAAAGGGUGAGGAGAUAAGGGGUGGGUCCCCCAUGCAAUAUAUAUAUAUAUUAAAUGAUUUGUUUUUAGUUUUUUAAUUUUUUAAUAGAGAGUGGGCCUCGUCUCAAGCCACGUUACUAUUUAACGAAAGAAUUGACAGAAAACUGAUGGAAGGUAUGAAAUUGUAAAAAAUUCGUAGAUGAGGUAUGACAUUGAAAUUUUUUAAAUAUGGGGUAUGAAACUGUGACUAACCCAAUAGUUGAGGUAGUUUUAUAUAAUUUACCCAAAAAAAAUUAUUCUUUUCUUAUACCCAAAUUGAGAAAUCUUACAGGACUUUUCUUGAAGCCUAUUUUUUUUAUUUUUAUAGAAACAUUAUAGGGUGCAAGGUUCCAUUAAGUCAUACAAUGGGUCAGCCAUAAUUUGGUAUUCAGCUCGCCAUCCAAAGUUAUUUCACGUAUUACAAUAAAACCUCUCUUAAGCUAUACAAUUGGGACCAAACUAAUUUUAUAAUUUUAGGGAGGUCGUUACUUAAUAGAGGUGUAGUUAAAAAAUAUAUUAUUUAUUGCCUUAUUUAUCUUUGAUAAAUGUAGUUGUAGACAUCGAAAUUUCGGCAAAUAAAUGUUGACCGAUAAAUUAAAGUGUCAACGCUCAUGUAUUACAUAAAUUUUACACGUAGCGUGCGACUCAACGAAAAUUGAAAUGAGUUGGAAAAGUCAUCAAAUAGGACACGUGUCAACACCUGGCAGAAACAACUUAUUUCAUCUGGGAUAUUAUAUUCAAAAUUAGGCCUUGGAAAUUUCUAUAAAUACAAGCCCAUUUCAUUCAUUUGAAAGGACCCAAUGGAUAUUACACCUUGAAGCUCUGAAGCUCUGAAACUCCGAAGCUCUCAAGCAUCCAGGUUCCCGAAGAAUCAAGAAAGUGUUCUUCGUUCUUCGUUCAUCGUUCUUCCAAGAUCAAGCCCCGACGGCCCUUGGAUCAACCAUCCGCCCAUUCAAGAUCAAGCCCCGACGGCCCUUGAAGAAAGCACCAUCGUUCAUCAUCCGU